UGGAACCUUCUGUUUGCGGCGUGAAGAGAAAGAGGGCAGAAACCCUAGGGUUUCUUGCCUGGGUCUGCAGAUGUUUGGGCCAAUUGGGCCUCUGGAAAUUUUGGGUUUGUAAUGGGUAGAGGUGUUUUGGGCUACCAGUCUGUAACGGGUCCAUUGCAACUGUUUGGGACUUAGUUUAGGCUGGGCUAGUCUAGUAAAAUUUGGCUGUUGGGUUUGUGUAUUUAGGCUUUGUAAAAAAAAUUUUAUGGACUGUUUAAAUUAAAUAAAUAAAUAUUUAUUUAUUUAUCUAUUAAUUUUUCAGUUUUAAUAAUCCGGGCAAAUUUUGGUGAUUACAGCUGCCCCUCUUUGCUCAUUGCUAUGUAAUAGGAAUUGAGCAAAGACCAUAAAGGACCAAAUUUGCCCGGCCUAGCCCAAUCUUUGCGAUCUUUUCCUCGAAUGGUCUUCUACCUUCUCCCUACAACCUCAAGAAUGCUAUGCUGAUAUUUUUGAUCUGUUUUCUGCCGAACACAGAGACACUGAGUCUGCUUCUUCGAUUUGUAAGGAUGUCAAAUCAUCUUGAAUCUGUUUGAGAACAUUUGAGAGUCAUAUCUGCAAUGUCCUCGAUUUGUUCCUUGUAAGCACAAGGAUGCCAAACCAUCUUGAGUCUGUUUGAGAACAUUUGAGAGUCAUAUCUGCAAUGUCCUCGAUUUGUUCCUUGUAAGCACAAGGAUGCCAAACCAUCUUGAGUCUGUUUGAGAACAUUUGAGAGUCAUAUCUGCAAUGUCCUCGAUUUGUUCCUUGUAAGCACAAGGAUGCCAAACCAUCUUGAGUCUGUUUGAGAACAUUUGAGAGUCAUAUCUGCAACGUCCUCGAUUUGUUCCUUGUAAGCACAAGGAUGCCAAAUCAUCUUGAGUCUGUUUGAGAACAUUUGAGAACAUUUGAGAGUCAUAUCUGCAACGUCCUCGAUUUGUUCUUUGUAAGCACAAGGAUACCAAAUCAUCUUAGAUCUGCUUCAGUAUAAACAUCUGAAGGUUAGAUCUGCUAUGUCCUCGAUUUGUUUCUUGUAAACACAAGAAUACCAAAUCAUCUUGGAUCUGCUUCAGUAUAAACAUCUGAAGGUUAGAUCUGCUAUAUUUGAGAACGUCUGAGAGUCAAAUCUGCUAUGUCCUCGAUUUGUUUCAAAAAUACCAAAUCAUCUUGGAUCUGCUUCAGCAUAAAUGUCUGAAGUCUAGAUCUGCUGUCUUCAAUUUGUUUCCCAGGGAUGCCAUGUUGAAAUCUUUGAUCUUCAUUGUCCCCUAGAGGACAUGACCUGUAAGAUGAGUAUGUGCCUAUGCCUAAGUAUGCUAUGAUUGAAAUGAGUCGAAUGUCCUUAACAUGUUAUGAUGCAAAGUGCUGUGAAUAUGACCCCCAUCUCAGGUGUCAUCAUUCAUUCCUUCAUUUAUCUUUCUCAAAAUUUUAUUCUUACUCAGCUUGUAGGCCUUCCUCCAAUGCUAUGAUCUACUGAGGAUGUCUGUAAGAAUUGAAUCAUCCAUUUCUUUUUGGACUGGAAGAAAGAAAUCCCUCGAGUUCCUUCAUCCCUUACUUACGUGAAUUUCUCAAACAAUUGUCCUGUUUUAGUUUCUUGUAUCAUCUAGAAAUUCCCAAAGUAAUGUGCAAAACUUCAUUUGUGAAAAUAUUUUAGUUCAUCUAUCAUUAUUUCAAUGCAACAUACUUUAAAAAUAUCGGGAGAUGAGUAAAUCUUUGAGAAUAAUUGGAUUCGAAUUGUUAACAGUACAAAGGAAAUAAGGAUGAUAGCAUAUCUUUAAGAAGAAAUAGAAUCUAAAGAUAGCAAACAGGAUAAAAAUCAGAUGCUCUAAAUAUCGCCGCUUGAGCAUCUAUACAUUAGUUCCCUGAAGCCUUUCUUGACUUCGACAUGUAUUUAAAAGAUCCAAAGUACUUUAUUGAUGCCCCAAUGUACACUGUGCCUCACUUUCUGUCGAGUCAAAUAUAGCAAGGUUGCUGUAUGCCCUUCAAAAUUUGAGCUGCCCUUUCGGGUUUUCAACUCAAAAUCCCUUUGGUCACAAGGUGCCCUUUGUGGGUUUUCACCUUGGCCUCUCCAUUUUUUUUUCAAGGCGCCCUUUGCGGUUUUUCACCUUGGAUUCUUUUCGCUUUUAGACAAAGUACUUUUUGACUGAGUCUGAAUUCACCGGAUUGGGUAGGCUUUUUCCAUCCAUUUCUGUCAAAAUCAAUGCACCACCAGAAAAAACCUUCUUCACGACGUAUGGCCCCUCCCAAUUUGGCAUCCAUUUUCCUCUAAAGUCCUUCUGAAUGGGAAGGAUUUUCUUUAGCACAAGUCCCCCUCACGGAAUUCCCUUGGACGAACCUUUUUAUCAUAAGCUCGCAUCGUACGCUUCUGGAACAUCUGACCAUGUUGGAUAGCCUUCAGCCUCUUUUCCUCAAUCAAGUUUAGCUGGUCAUAUCGAUACUGAACCCAUUCAGCUUCAUCUAACCUUAUCUCUGUUAAAAUUCGAAGAGAAGGUAUUUCCACUUCAAUAGGUAAAACUGCUUCCAUCCCGUAAACUAACGAGAACGGAGUUGCCCCAGUAGAAGUUCUAACAGACGUUCGAUAAGCCAAGAGUGCAAACGAUAGCUUUUCAUGCCAAUCCCUAUAAGUUUCAGUCAUCUUUCCCACUAUUUUCUUAAUGUUCUUAUUGGCAGCCUCCACUGCCCCAUUCAUCUUUAGACGAUAGGGUGAAGAGUUGUGAUGCUUGAUUUUGAACUGGUCGCAAACCUCUGCUAUCAUUUUGUUGUUCAAAUUUAAUGCAUUGUUGGAUAUGAUCCUCUCAGGCAUUCCAUACCGACAAAUGAUUUCCUUCUUUAAAAAUUGACUUACAGCUGUCUUGGUAACAUUUGCGUAAGAAGCAGCCUUUACCCAUUUUGUAAAGUAGUCAAUCACUACGAAAAUAAACCGAUGUCCAUUCGAAGCUUUCGGCGAUAUUGGUCCGAUGACAUCCAUGCCCCACAUGAAAAAUGGCCAUGAAGACGUCAUGACAUGUAAAGGUGAGGGUGGUACAUGAAUUUUGUCUCCAUAAAUCUGACACUUAUGGCAUUUUUUGGCAUAGUUGAUACAGUCUCCUUCCAUAGUGGCCCAAUAGUAGCCAAACCUCAUGAUUUGUCUUGCCAUCGUGAACCCAUUUACAUGCGUACCACAUACACCUUCAUGAACCUCUUCUAAAAUUAGCUUGGCUUCCACAGCAUCAACACAUCUCAAAAGUACUUGGUCUUUCCUUCUCUUGUACAGAACAUCCCCGUCCAAAACAUAGUCACAAGCUAAUCUUCUCAGGGUUCGUUUGUCAUUUUCGGAUGCCUGUGCUGGAUAUUUACGAUCUCUUACAUAUCGCAAUAUAUCCUGAUACCAAGGAUUGUCAUCCUUUUCUUCCUCUUCAAGGUUACAACAGCUAGCUGGAGAUUCAUAGACACUCAUUUGAAUUGGUCUCAUCUCUUCCUCUUUGUUUGCCUUAAUCAUUGAAGCCAAGGUUGCUAAAGCAUCUGCCAUCUGAUUCUCAUCUCGUGGGAGAUAGUUGAAGGUGAUGUCAUCGAACUCUCUUAGUAACCCCAAAACUAUCAUUCGAUAAUUGAUCAAUUUAGGGUCUCUUAUCUCCCAUUCACCUCUUAGCUGAUAGAUUACCAACGGAGAAUCUCUAUAUACUUCUAGGGUUUUUAUGCCUCUUUCUAUGGCUGCUUGGAGCCCCAUGAUGCAUGCUUCGUAUUCAGCCAUAUUAUUUGUACAGUCAAAAUCCAACUUGCACGUAAACGGGUAAUGGUCACCAUUCGGGGAUACCAAGACUGCCCCAAUUCCAUUUCCGACUGCAUUAGAAGCCCUAUCAAAAUUUAGCUUCCAUGGAGAAUCUUCAGUUGCUGCUAUACACAUUAGCUCCUCAUUUGGAAAAUCAAAAUUCAAUGGCUCGUAAUCCUCCAAAGCUCUACUGGCCAAGAAGUCUACCACCGCACUUCCUUUGAUAGCCUUCUAACUUACAUAGACUAUAUCGAACUCUGAAAGCAAAAUUUUCCAUCUCGCCAUUCUUCCAUUUAGAGCCGUUGAUUCCAUCAUGUAUUUUAAUGGAUCUAAUUUUGAGAUGAGCCAAGUAGUAUGGUAUAGCAUGUACUGUCUUAAUCUCCGUGUAGUCCAAAUCAAUGCACAACACAACUUUUCGAUUGGCGAAUAUCUCAUUUCACAGUCAGUGAAUUUCUUACUGAGAUAAUAAAUUGCCUUUUCCUUUUUCCUUGACUCGUCAUGCUGACCAAGCACACAUCCCAUAGAAUUGCUAAACACUGACAAGUAUAGUAUUAACGGUUUAUCUGGACUAGGCGGAGAUAACACUGGAGCAUUCAACAAAUACUACUUGACUUUCUCAAAAGCAUUCUGGUAUUCUUCAUCCCAAACACCUUGAUUGUGCUUUCUGAGGAGAUGAAAGAUAGGAUCACAUUUCUUAGUCAAUUUUGAAAUAAACCGAGCAAUGUAAUUCAACCUUCCUAGGAAUCCUCGAACUUCUUUUUGAGUACGUGGUGGAGGCAACUCUCGUAUGGCUCUGACCUUGUUUGAGUCAACUUCAAUUUCCUUUUCACUGACUACGAAACCUAAUAACUUCCCCGAUCUGGCUCCAAAGGUUCACUUUGCUGGAUUGAGCUUCAACUGAAAUUUUCUCAACCUUAAGAACAAUCUUCUCAAGACCUCAAUGUGUUCUUCUUUUGUUCACGACUUGGCGAUCAUAUCAUCAACGUAUACCUCAAUAUCCUUAUGCAUCAUGUGUGGCAGAGAAAAAUUAUCCUUUGGGCUUGCUUUGUUUAGAUCUUUGUAAUCAACUCACAUUCGUACCUUCCCGUCUUUCUUAGGGACUGGUACAAUAUUAGCUACCCAUUUAGAGUACUUUACUUCCUGCAGAAAUCCUGCAUCAAACUGCUUCUUGACCUCAUCUUUUAUUUUCAGGACAAUGUCUGGCUGCAUUCUUCGCAACUUCUGUUGGACCGGUCUACAUUCUUGUCUUAUCGGAAGACGAUGUACUAUAAUGUCAGUACUCAAUCUGGGCAUAUCCUGAUAAGACCAUGCAAAGAUAUCCUUGAAUUCCUGAAGCAACUCAAUCAAGCUACGCCUUGUGUCAUUAGUGAUCAGUGUUCCAAUUUUCACCUCCUUCCCUUCCUCUAGGGCUAUAUUCUCUAUUGCCUCUUUUUCAUGUGGCAUGAUUUGUUUCUCCUCCUGUCUUACCAUUCUUAUGAGAUCGAGAGAUACGUCACAAUCUUAAACAUCUUCAAAAUCUUGAGGCUCCUCUAAACACAUGUCUUGCUCACAAGAGAAAUCAGGAGCAGCAGUAUUAGCGCUCAUAUCAUUGAUAUCUAGAGACCUGUGAGGGGUAUGAAAGAAUAUACAAAGAAUGAAUGAAUUUAAGAAUGAUCGUUUAUGUGCUAUGAAUAGAAGAAUAAGAGUUGUUAGAAUUUAAAGGAAUAUUGGUUGAUAAAAAUGAGGCAAUACUCUUUUAAAUUAGUAAAAGUUAUGCUUUAUUUUAAUAAUAAUAGAUGAACAUAAGCCUAUUUUCACAAAUGUAAUCUUACUACUCCUAGGCCCUAGAGUAAUAAACAUGUUUCGAGAAUUACUUUGAAAUAUUUCUAAAGACUACAGGAAGAUCCUUCGCAGUCUAAUUGUUUAGAGAACUCCCCGGUUCGUAAGGGCGAAUACCCUCGAGGUUUUCCUGUCCAAACCACUCACUAUGUACAACAUUGAUCUGAUGACUCUCUUCUACCAGCAACCCUCCUGACUUAAAGGUUUUGGAUAUAGGUGGGAAUGUCAUCAGUUCCCACUCUACUUCUCCUCCGUUCAAACGCGCCUUCCUUCUUGCUUGACGCUUUUCCAUCUCCCGUCUCUUUUGUUUAUGGUCUGGCUUAAAACCCAAACCAAAACGAUCCUUCUUCUCUAUCAAUUUUGGGACUUGAAUCCCUCCUUGCAACUGUCUUCCUAGUCCUUUUCCUGGCAAUGCUCCUUUCCCCAUCAUUACUUGCAGGGCCAUCAUUGUUGCUCUAGAUAUUUUAAGAACCGGUGUCUCGCUUUCCUCCGAAAUGAAGGUAGUAUUAAUAAUUUCCAAGGAACGAAAAGAACACUCGAUAGCCUCCUUAUUUGUCUCUACAUAAGGGGCUUUACUGGUGACAGCUGCUAUGAUGUCCUCCUCUGCAUUGAUGGUUAUCAAGCGUCCAUCUGUCACCAACUUCAAUUUUUGGUGCAGUGAAGAGGGCACCGCUCCUGCUGAGUGUAUCCAUGGCCUUCCCAACAAACAAUUAUAGGAGGGCUUGAUAUCCAUUACCAGGAAGUCAACAUCAUACGUAUUUGGUCUAAUUUCCAGAGGGAUGUCAAUUCGUCCCAUUACUUUCCUUUCAGUUCCGUCAAAGGCUCUUACCACAUUAUGACAUGUCUUCAUGUGUGAACUGUCGAUGGGUAAUCUGUUCAAUGUAGAUAAUGGAAGGAUGUUCAAAGCGGACCCAUUAUCAACGAGUACACUUGGAAGCGUGUAUCCUUUGCAACGAGUGGUGAUGUGCAAAGCCUUAGUUGACACUAUGCCCCUAGGUGGAAUUUCAUCAUCAUUGAAGUAGAUGAAAUUAUCAGCAUUGAUGUUAUUUAUCAACCGGUCCAACUUAUUGACAGAUAUAUCAUGAGUGACAUAUGUCUCGUUGAGUACCUUCAACAAUGCUUCUCGAUGCACUUCAGAGCUUAGCAGUAAGGCUAAAACCGAUAUGCGUACUGGUUGCUUACGCAACUGCUCGACCACACUGUACUCACUAUGCUUAGGGAACUUUAGAAAUUCUUUUGCUUUCUCCUCCCUCACUGGCUCGUUAACAGGUACUUCACUCUUUUUCUCAAUUUCAACAUUCUUGGGUUUUGUGAGCUCCACUCUGACGUCUCCCAUAUCAUAACGCUUCCCACUCCACGUAUGGGAACCUUCAUCUCGUACAUCUUUAGAUGCGCUGGCUAUGUUUCCUUCUCCCGGCACCGUCACGCUACAGUCAUAACUCCAUGGUACUUUCUUGCUAUCCUUGUAAGGGAAAGGAGUAGGUGUAUGGAUAAUAACAUUAGGCGCUGCUGGUGUCCCCAUUUUAUUAUUCCCUGGCAGAGAGAUAAUGAUCUUUGGUCUACUGGUUCUUUACUGUUCAUUUUCCAGCACACAUACUUGCUUUUCACUAGAGCUACCUUCAUAAACCUGUAGCUCUUUGUUGUCUAUGAAGCCUUGUACCAAGGCCUUGAAUUCCUCGCAAUCUUCAUGAAGCUUACCGUAAUCCCACGUUCUUUCUUUCAUAUUUUUAGAGGUUAACAUACCUCUCUUCAUCAUCUCCUCCCAGAUUACCCUCAUAGGCAUCCUUAUCUCAUCAACCUUUUUCUUUUCCCUUUUUUCACCGGCUUCACCAAUGGCAUUUACUCCCUAAUUGUCAUGGUUCGGCAAAGAAUUCUCAGUAUUUGGGGUACUCUCAAAUUUCAAAACCCCAUUCUUGAUCAACCUCUCUACGGCUUUCUUGAAUCCAGUACAAUUCUCGAUUGAGUGCCCCGAUAUUCCAGCAUGAUACUCACAUCUGGCAUUUGCAUCAUACCAUUUAGGAUACGGAGGUUGUAAUGGUUUUAAGUGGAAAGGGGCUAUAGCAUGCGUAUCAUAUAGAUUUUGAUAGAGCUCCCUAUACGUCACAGGUAUAGGUGUAAAUUGCAUCCUCUCAUGCCUAAUGUUGGAUUCCUGCUUUUGAGAGUCUUGUUGCCCAACUGUGGCUACUUUGGGCUGGCUAACUGUGACUGCUUUUGAAUUGAAACCACUUGUAUUGUUUACCUCAUUGUCUUUUCUUCUUAGGGUUGAUCUUUUGACUACUUCCCCCUCAAUUCUUCCUCCUCUUAUGGCAUUCUCUAUCAUCUCUCCUGCCAUAACUAUGUCCGCAAAACUUUUAGUAGUGCUUCCAAUCAUAUGAGUAAUAAAUGGGGCUUUCAGAGUAUUAAUAAAUAACAUAGUGGUCUCCUCUCCAACAGUGGUGGUUGGACCUGCAUCGCUACCUCUCUCCACCUCUGUGCAUAUUGCCUAAAAUUCUCAUUAGGCUUCUUCUCUAUGUUUUGCAGGGUAAUCCUAUCAGGGGUCAUGUUUGUUACAUGAUUGUACUGUUGCAUGAAGGCUUGUGCAAGAUCCCUCCAUGAAGAUAUUCUAGCCCGGCUCAACUGAUUGUACCAUCUGGCUGCCGCUCCUAUCAAACUAUCUUAAAAACAAUGGAUCAACAGCUGAUCAUUGUUUACAUACCCCGUUAUCCUUCUGCAAAACAUUGUGAUAUGGGCCUCUGGGCAAGUAGUGCCAUUAUACUUUUCAAAUUCUGGCAUUUUGAAUUUGUGAGGUAACACUAGGUUUGGGACCAGACUUAAGUCAUUGGCAUCAACCCCAUGAUUAUUUCCAAUGCCUUCCAAAGCCUUGAACUUUUCUUCUAACCAUCUGCAGCGUUCAUCCAAUUGCCUUGUAGCUUCAGCCUUCAAAUCCUCCUUUUCCACCAUAUCUAGAUCGGGAACAAGAGGAUUGUAAGAUUGUCACCCAUAUUAAGUCCUGAACUAAUCGGGAAAUUCACAUGGACACCAGCAUCAAUUGGCCCGUGCUGAGGCCUCAGAGUAGUAGAUGGUAUUCUAGGAGGUGCCUCAGUUUGCAAUGAUACAUGCAGCGGUGUAAAACCUGGAGGAGGACCCUUAUUUUCCUCUUCAGUGAUGGCCAUAGGAGCCUUUCCUUUAUCAGUGGCCCUUAGUAACUGAGCCAUUUCGGCCAUUAUAUUCCUCUGAGCUUCCAUCAUUUGUUCCCUCAUCUCAUUCUGCAUCUUAGCCAACUGCUCUUGCAACUGGUCUUGCAUAUCCUUUUGCAAUUGCUCAAACCUUUGAUCCAUGUUCUUAGUUUUAGUGCGAGUGUCGUAAGGAUGUGUAAUUUCCAGUUUUCUUUUCUACCUUUGUAAAGAAACUUUAACUAAUUAGGGUCUUUCUAUAACCUUAAAUGCAUAUGAUAUGAUAUAAUGCAAAUGUAUGAAUGCAGCGAAGGCAUCAAUCUCGAUUCAAUCUCAUUUAGAAAACUUUAUUUAAAAAAAGAAUAUCUUUACGUAUAAAUGGAUUACAAGUAUGCUUUCGCCCUAAUGCCCAAAGUUUUAACUCUAUCUAAUAAAAGGGCUAACUCUCUUCCUAUGUCUGACGACGACCCACACAUCAUACUCAAUACGUUGGCUCGUACAGCCAAGUCUUGCACAUAUUCAGCACCUCUAGAAUCUGAGCUAUGGCUUCUUCCAUGACAUGAUCUCUUUCUCUAAUCUGCCCUCUAGACUGAUGAAGCUUUCCCUUUAGAUAGUCUCCUUGCGUCUCGAGUUGCUCUAUCUGAAGUUUACCUUCCUCCAAUGCUGCUUCCAAAUCUUCAACUUUACUCUUUAGCUCUUUUAACUCGACCGUAGAAUCAUGGUUGCGAUGCCAACGAAGGGAUCUUCCAAGCUCAGUUACUUUAGACUUCAACCCUUUAUUCUCUUCUUCUAAUGCCAAAUUCCGCGAUUGCAUCUCCUGAAACUUCUUCUCCCAGUACUCAGCUCUAACCUUUCCUUCUUGGACCUCUUUCUGCAACUGAUCUGAAGACCCUCCUAUUUUCGCUCUUCUCAAGGAUACCUGUGCCUUCUUGUAGUGUUCUUUCAAGUCAUCUCUAUCCUCUACAAUCUUCCUCUUUUCCUUUCUUUCUUUUUCUACUUCCAUCUUCUGUACAUCGAUAUAUAAACUCAAGUAAAUCUUUUCUUCUUCAAGUUUUGCUAUCCUUUUCUCGAGCUCCAGAUUUUUCCUCUCAAAUUCUUGCUUCAUAAUUUCUAACUCCGAGGGCAUCACUUGCAGAUAUUCCUCCAUCGGUCGAGCUCCUUCCAUAUUUGGCUCAGGAAUGUUAUCAUUGAUCCUUCUACCUCUCCAUUCAACAUAUUUUGGAGUCGUAGCAGGGCCAAUAGCUACUCCUUUCAACCGGCACGUCUUGUUCCAAGCGCUAGAGAUCUCACCGACCCUUUUCUUAUAAUCGGCUCCUCUAUAUGCGAACUCACUUUGAGUUAGCCCAUGAGUCGCUGGCACGAACUGCCUCAAACCGAAUUGCCUUAACACGAGCAAGGGAGCAUAACCAAUGGCACCCCAAAUUCCCAAUAAAGGGACCCAAUUGAAACUGCCGCAACGGUAAAGAACCUCACCAGGAAUCAUCCACGGAGCUCUCCACUCAACAUCUUUCGACUGAAGAUUUUGAAGUAGUGCAAUCCAAUUCUCCUCUGGAACAUCAACUCUCCUAAUUGAAGCGACUAUGUCCUUCAGUGGUGAGUAAUCCUCGAAGAAAACCCGACAAACAACCUUAUCUAUCAACCGAAAAUGACUAUAGAACCAAGCUAGAAGCAAUUGUGCACAACCAACAAACCUGCCUGCGCCAGCUUUCCUACAUGCGCCUAAGGACCUGAAUGUCUCUGCCAAUAUUGCAGGGACAGAGGUGACCCUCUUACUGAGUCUAUAGAAAAGAUCCGUGGUUGCCUCAUCCACAUAUCCCAAGGCCCUAGGGAACACCAUCAAUCCGUACAAACUUAAGGCAAAAACAUCUACCCUUUUUACUUCAUCAGGGUGUGUUAAAAUCAAAUCCUUCAAAGCAUCCCAUGAAAUGCACUUGCACUCGCCCUUCUCUUUAAUUCUGGCAGUAAUCCACUGCUCGCUUAUCCCUGUAAUAGCCAUCAAUUUCUUCCAAAAGGUAGGGACAUUAACAGCUCUAGAAUAGAUUCUAUCUUCCUGGAACCUGGGACAACAUAACAAAGCAGUGUACUCCUCUACAGUAGGCGCCAAAUCUACCUCCCCGAAAGUAAAGCAACUGUACGCUGGAUUCCAAAACUGAGCGAGGGCUCGAAACAAGUGCUCAUCUAUUUGAACAUCGAGCAAGUAAGGUAAGUCUCCGUAAUUACCGUAGAAUAACUAUUUAGUCUCGUUGCCCCAUUGAUCCCAAAUCUCCUUAAGCUCUUGGAGAUUAUUCUGUGUAACACUGAUGCGAGUAUAUCCUGACAGCUCCAACAUAUAUCCCGCAGCUAUACUAUCUCCCUUUUCUCACUGAGUUUGCUCAGACCAUCUAUGGACGUUGGCGUUGCCCUCCACUCUAUCAAGAAGUCCGUUCUCCAUAAUAAAACUCUCUAAUUUAGACGCUGACCGUGAAUCGAUACCUUUGUAAAUGCAAAAUGUCAUGCAAACAAAAGAAGAGAAAUAGUCAGUAUCACAUGAUAUCAAUAAAUCUCAACAAUAAUUUAUAAGGGUAAUAUCUAAAGUUUAACUCUAACUAAGUUGGGCUCUUAUGGUUUUUUCUAUAUGAGGUUGGUUCUAAAGUUUGAGGUACCUGAACCAGCAGAUUCCUCGAUCCUCACCCAUUAUAGGCUCAUUUGAAUCGAGUUCAGUUCAGGGGAAUACAUUUCCCUAUGGCUACACGGAGAUGAAAAUCUCACGAAACCAUAGGUACGGAUGUAUCCCGAAAGUGAUCCACUAUCCUGCACGAAGGUGAAAACCUCACGAAGGCGUAGCUUCUCACUCCCACUUAAGGUUGUGACCACAACGAUCAUGCAAAUGCAAUGCGUAUUAGAAUAUAGCAACACAUGCAAUAAUACAAACACAUGUAAAGCAAAGAGGAUUAAAUCUUAGAAUUUUUUAAAUUUUCGACAUCAAGACAAGAGGUAAUCAAUUACACGGCUUGACUCUCUUAUUGGUCCCUAGUGGAGUCGCCAAGCUGUCGAAACCAUUUUCAAAUCGAGUUUUGGAAAAUGGGAAUCGACUUUAAGAAAAAUGAAAACGGGAGUCGCCACCAAUCUUUUUAGGUGUGAUUGGAUCACCUUUAAAACAUUUGUUUUAAAAUCUUUGGUUUUGGUCUACGAAAUCAAAAGAAUGGGUUCGGGAGUCGGUUACGUACGAGGAAGGGUUAGCACCCUCGUAACGCCCAAAAAUUGGUACCUAAUUGAUUAUCAAAUGUCUUUAAGGUCGAAAAUUAGAAAUUCUAAGAUGUAAUACUCUUUAAAGUAUUUGAAAAUUUGGGUUUACUUGUAUCAAAGUAUCGACUAUAGGUUAGCCUUUAGAAAUCUCUAUCUCAAAACAGCAAAUGCUACAUCCAGUAAGUUAGGACAUAUCACUUUGCAAUUCCAAGACAGUCACUUAUAUUUUGAAAUCCUUUAAAAACUUUAGAAGGGUACUUGACUAUUCAAACUUAACGAGAAAAGUUGCAACCCAAUAAGUUAGGGCACUACUUUUUUCGAAAUUUUCAAACACCAAGUAUUGCCUUUAUAUUUUUUUGAAAAUUUUGGAGACUUGUCCUUUUAAAGAUGAUGCGUGGAGAUUUGUAUUGCAUUAUAAAUCAUAAUAAUAUAUUAUUGUACUAGGUAAAUAAAAAAUGAAUACUAUGAUAAAAAGAAUAAUACAUAUAAAGCAAAAAAAAAAAUGCAAACAAAGAUAUAGCAUGAAUAAACAAGAUAUAUAAACAUAUGAGAUAAUAUUUAAAUGAUGCAUGAUAUAAAAACAAACAUAAUCAAAUAAUGCAUGAUAUACAAAUAGAAUAAAUGUAAUGUCAAUAUGCAUAUAAUUAUAAAAAAAAUUAACACAUACAUGAAACAUACAAUACAAAACAUAUAGAAGAACUAAUAAAAAAUGAUUGAUUGCUAACAAAAUAUACAUACAAUUAAAAACGAGAUAUUUCAUUUCCAUUUUAAAAUAGUAUCUAAUAUAUAAUAUAAUAACAUAAUAAAAGAAUAAUAAUUAUAUAAUAAUAUAUUGGUUUGAAAGUAUGUAAGAGAUUUCAUAAUAUAACAAUAUUAGUUUAAAAUGAAAUAAUAUAUAUAUAGUAAAUAAAUAAAAAAUGAAAUGUGUAUAUAAUACGAGUUUAAAAAUAUAAUUUAAUAAUAAUUUACAUUUUUAAAAUAAUAUAUAUGUAAAAUAAUAUAAUUUGCGAUACAUGAUAUACAUAACAUAUAUAUAAAAAAAACAACAAAUAAUAUAAAAAUAAAACAUAAUAAAGAUUAUAUAAUAAAAUGUAAUAUAAACAUAUAAGAAAAAUAAUAAAUAUAAUAUAAAGUAACGUAUAAAACAAUAUAUAUAUAUAUAAGUAAUUAAUAAAUAUAAUAUAUGUGAAAAUAUAAUAAUAUAUGAAAGAGAUGUAAAAUAAUAAUUUAAGGAAAAUAAUAUAUAUAAUAAGUAAUAAUAAUAUAUAAUUAAAAAGAAUACUUAUAAUAAAAUAAUUUUAUAAUAUAUAAUAUAAAAGUAAAAUUAAAAUAAACAAAUAAUAUAUAUAUAUAGAAUAAUAUAAUAAAUAUAUGACUAAAUUUAAAGUUUAACAAAAUUAUGGGGCAAAUUUUGAAAGGGAAUAAAACUGAAUUAAGGAUUAAAAUAAUAGAUAAUAAGUAAGGAUUAAAAUUAAAAAUAGAUAGAAUAUUAGGGUUAAUUUAAAAAAAUAAAAAAAACAAUUUGGAUUAAUUUGGAAUGCACGCUAAAAUCUCAGGGACUCGCUGGGUAAAUAACCCUAGUCCUUGAAACGGUGUCGCUCUCAGGAUUAGCAUUGAACAGAGGACUAAAUUAUAAUGAAAACAGAAUAUUUGGGCCAAUUUUAAAUAAAACGAGAUUUGAAUCAGAUGAAAUUAAAUAAUCUAAAAAUGCAGAAGGACCGAGGGAAUAAAUGUCCCACUAUAGCGGUAAAACACGCGGACCUUCGGAUCGGAUCGGGUCGAAUUUUGGACCCUAUAUAAAUCUCAUUUUGCCCGAAAAAAAAACAGUCUGUAACUCCUUUAAAAAAAAACUAAAAAAACCUCUGAAAAAAGGGCUCCGACCCUCGGAGCUCCGGCCUCGUGGCUAUCCUGGCUCGUCCCAGUGUCUGGCGUGCGUGGUCUCCACGCGCUUAACGAGCCGCCACCAGAGCCACCGUAUACGGUGGUUAGGGUUUCAAAAACCCUCCCUUUUCUUUGCCGAUUCUCAGGUAUCAACCUUCUCCCUCUGUUUUGAGUUUCUAUUUUUUAGAUCUGGGUGUGUGCAUGUUAGUAAAUGACCAGAUAAGAUUAAAAAAGAAGAAAACGAUUCGAUUACCUUUGAAAAACGAGAUUCGCCUUUUAUUUCUCUGUUUCAAAAGGAUUACAAUGGUUCGUGCUAUUCUAUUAGGUAAAUCCCUAUACCUUCUUUUUUGUUUCUCUUUGCUUCUAAAAACUCUCUUUUUUUGAUUCCCUACUAUUCUUCUCUCUGCUUUUGUGUGGGUGUAUUUCUGCUAUCGGGUCUCUCCCUCCGUGUGUGUCCUUUUUUACAGAUUAAAAAGAAGGCUUUAUAGCCUCGACUACUACAAGUUUUGGAAAGAAAUCUUUGAUUUUUUUCCGUAUUUGCUUCGCAUGUCUGCUGUAAUUUUCUUUCCUUUUCUUGCAGGUACUUGCAAAAAAAUCCGGCAAUGGCAAAGGCUUGACGAUGGUUCACUGGUGGCGUUGAUCCUGGUGUGAGUUGGGGCCUAGAAUCAUGGCCUUGACGGGGUAGCAGGAGCUGAAGAGUCAUGAGGCUUGGCUUCUGGAACCUUCUGUUUGUGGCGCGAGGAGAAAGAGGGCAGAAACCCUAGGGUUUCUUGCCUGGGUCUGCAGAUGUUUGGGCCAAUUGGGCCUCUGGAAAUUUUGGGUUUGUAAUGGGUAGAGGUGUUUUGGGCUACCAGUCUGUAACGGGUCCAUUGCAACUGUUUGGGACUUAGUUUAGGCUGGGCUAGUCUAGUAAAAUUUGGUUGUUGGGUCUGUGUAUUUAGGCUUUGUAAAAAAAAACUUUUAUGGACUGUUUAAAUUAAAUAAAUAAAUAAAUAUUUAUUUAUCUAUUAAUUUUUCAGUUUUAAUAAUCCGGGCAAAUUUUGGUGAUUACAUCCACCAUUAAUGACAGUCGUUGCUAUUAUUCUGGAUUGUGUUGAAACAACCUACCUCCAAAGUAAUUAACAUUGAUUACUUAAAUGUCAAUGGUAGACUUUUCAUCAUUGGCUCCAUAACUGGAUUUCUCAUAGAACCAAACAUUGCAGUUAUGAUCGCAAAACAACUUUCAAUCCAAGGUUUUAAUCAUGUUCUAAACAACAGCAGGCCAAACCCUUUACUAUAUAAUAAUAUGUUGCAAGACAAUUGAAAGUGGGAAACUUUAAAUAUGAGUAAAUCCUUUUAAGGCAAGUCACUUUCUCUAAGCGACGAAAUGGGUUGUUUAAGAAGGCUUAUGAUGGAUGCUCGUGAGAAGAAGUAUAAAGCUCUUCUCAACGAGUAGAUGGCAAAAGGAAUGUUAAGUAAGUGAAAUACUUACUAAUAGAACUAGAUUAUCAAUAAGUUUGUUGAUGGUUUCAUAUAGAUUGUUUGUUGUUAUUUGGCUAUUUGUUUGUGUUGUAACUGAAUGUUAGUUUCUUAUUUGAUGCCUUCAUUGUUUUCUCAACCAAUAAUUAAUAGAUGUGUUGGUGAAAAUUAUUGAUGUAGCUUCAAUUUAUGGUUCUUUGGCUAUUACUGAAAUGUUCUUCCCAUAUGUUCAUGUUGUUUCAUUGAUAUUUUUACACUUAUUAAUGCAGUUGAAUUUUAUACUAAAGGACUUGAUGAUGAGCCCUUCAAUUCGAAUGAUGAUGAAUGAGGCUUGCUGCAUAUUAUGUUUGUGUAUAUAUAUAUGUUAUAGCAAUUGAUGAAUGCAAUUGUCCCAGAAUUUUUUGAUGUCAUGGUAAAGGUGUUGACAACAUGUUGGCAAUGCAUUCACUGAAUGCAAUUACCAAGUGAUGUAAUAGACAACAACCUGACAACAUGUUGUCAACGUGUUGAUUGCAUCUAUUAGGAUUUUGUAUAUAAACUAAUAAGUGUAUUAUCCAGUGGUAAUUUUGUAUUAAUAUGAUCAGUUUAUGUUAAUUAAAUGUUUAAUUAAUAUCGUCUCAAACUUGUCCAAACCCAAUACAUACAAAUUUGUUCAUAUUUCGCCAAAAUAGACUCUUCAAAAGUCAUAAAAAAAUGGGACCUGAGCCAACUAUGUAAGGUGUUGGUAUAGACAAGGUCUAUCCCAACCUUUUUAAGGUUGCCUUAGACUAGUCUAUCCCAACUCUUUAAAAGUUGGAAUAUGAAUACUUUAUUCCAACCUUUUUUAGGUCACCUAUUUCCUCUUAUCCCAACCUUUUUUAAAGGCUGACCUUGACUAGGUCUUUGCCAACCCUUCAAUAAAGGUUGACCUAUGUUGAAUUAUGUUGGAGCUUUUUCCAAGGCAUUGUGGUACCUAUGCCAAUGGUGCUAACAACGACAUUUUCAGAAGCAUUAAGAUGCCAUAUGCAAACUUUUUCUACGUCAUUGAUUUAAACGAAAACUUUCAAAUAAUUCAGUAACCAAAUUGUAACUUUUAUUAGUUAAGUGACUAAAAUGAAAAUUUACUCAUAGUUUAGUGACUAAUGGUGUAGUUUACCAUUAUUUAAUAGCAAUCAAUUAAAUAAUAAUUCAAAUAAAUUAGAUUAAUCCUUAUGUCAUCUCUUGUUCUUUGUAAGAAAAUGCAUUUACUACGAAUAGUAAUACAUGCAAUCUAUUUCUCUUUUUUUUUCAUUCAUUCAACAUAUCAGUUCAAAAUGCAAUCUGUAAAAAGGUUAAGUUGUGUAAUGACUCAAUUUUCAAUGGUGUCAAAAAAUUCGGUUUUAAAGUCAAAAUUCUUAAAUCGAGUUAAUCAAGAAUUAGAACCGAAUAAAUACGUGUCAAGUACGAAAAUGAAGGGUCAAUUAUUAAGUGAAAUUAAUUGAUUGAUUGUUGAAUUAUAAGUAUAGGGACUAAAUUAAGAAGAAUAACAAAUGACGUAACAAAAUGUGAUGGAUUUAUGAAGCAAUUUAGCUUGACCCCUUACUAAUUGUGUCAUGAAAAUGUUUUAGCCAUAGAUUUUUUUUAUUUAUUAAAAUUUUGUUGUUAGAUGCCGAUUGAAUCUUAGUUUAUUUGGUAUCGAUAUUGUUUCUAGUCCAAGAGGACGUGGGUUCGAGUGUGCUGAAACACAUUAUCCUCUUAUUUAAGAGCUGGGGAGGGGCUGUGGAUAGUUUUAGGCAUCACCCAUAUGAAAGGAUUUAAACUUAAAUGAUAAGAGUAGGAUAUGCAUGUUUGAUGUUAGAUAGAUUCAUGGUAGCAACAUUGUAAAAAUGUGAGUAGAAGUGUUGAUUUAUAUUUGAAUUUAUGUUUAAAGAAAUUUAGUUAAUUAUGUGUUAAUAAGAACCUAAUUGUAAGAGAUAAAAACUUUGAGGUUUACUAUUGAAUGAUAGUAAUGUGAGGUCUCUGUACUAUAUUUAUAAAGUCAAAUUUAAAUUUUUUCGGGUAAAUCGUGAGGUAUGGGUGUUUUGGGCAAUAGGAAUUCAAGGGACAAAUUUGAAAUAAAUGCAUUCAUGUUUAUAUUGUUGCGAAUUAUGUUUAAACUAUAUGAGUAAUGAGUUUUCCAUAUUUGGAAUCAAUUUACGUAGCUAAAGACGACAUAAGACUUUCACGGGACAAAGCGAAAGUGAGAGCCGUGACAAAUAGCCUCGUUUUCAGUUUGUGCUUUCAUAAUUCGCUUUCAAUAUAUAUAUGAAUAAUUCAAUAACCGAAUAACGAAAUAAAAUAUAUUAAUGUUGUAUGCGACCGAGAGGUACAUAUAUACUUCACUAUUCGAUAUUUUGAGGUAUGACGAGUGAAUACGUGUAAAUAUGAUUAUCGAUUUGUUUGAGGUAGGUUAAUUGAAUAUAAAUAUGUUUGCUAUGUGUUAUUUGAUUGUUAUCCUAUUGGAAAUAUGAUCUGUGAUAUUUGAUAAUGGAAAAUGUCCUAUUAAAGUUGUCGAAUAGAGUUUCAAGUAUAGUUGGCAUGCCAUAAAAUUUAUUUUGAUAAGUAGGAGAUUCAGCACUAUGCACGUUAUUAUAUUGUGAUAGUUCUCUAAUAUCUUGGGGUCGAGAACGUAUCAUCAACUCAAAAACUUUAGGGGUACAAGUGUAUUUUGGUGUGGUUGGUAGGAUCGAUACAUUUAUGCCUGAAUAGCACUUCGGUACGUAUAUUGAUGUAAUGGUGGAUUGAUAUGAAUAUCCGUCCUUAAAUCUGAUUCUAUUAAUAGGGAUUAAACUAUGAAAUAUUAUGUUAUGCAUGUUUGUGAUUAGAAUGUGAUUAUAACAAUGAUAUGACAUAUAGCUUCGAUAUGUUACAGCAUAUGCAAAUACAUUGGGAUUGCUUCGAAAUUUCGAUGUGUAAAAAGCAAACAUUAUAUUGAUACAUAUAUGUUUAUGUCAAAUACGAAUUAUGGAUACCUAAGGAUUUAAUGAUUUGUUUGAAUAUAUGUUAUAUGGAUAAUGGUAAUGAAAUGAUUGUUGAUCAUAAGAGUAUUCAUAUACUUCGCUCGUUUAUUAUAAGCAUAACGUUUUUUUUACCCUCCUACUUUGUAAAAAAAAAAUUCAUUUUAGUUCUUUAUUUAAUUUUUCGCUUCUUGUUGCCUUUGAACUUAUAUUUUUUAUUAAAUCACCCCAAAAUAGAUGGAAAAGUUGCUAGCUUUGCUGACGUUGCAUACACGUAGAUUGCCACGUAGAUAACACACUAGCAUUUAAUUAAUUUUUUAAUUAAUUAAAAUUUUAAAAAAUAUUUUUAAAAUUUUUAAUUUUUAAAAAUAGUUUUUAUAUUUUUUUGAAUUUUUAAAAUUUUAAAAAAUUAAGUAAAUGUUAACAUGUAAUCCACAUGGCCAUGUCACAUGUAUGCAACGUCAGCAAAGUUAAAAAACGUUAAAUUUUUCAUUCGUUUUGGGGUGAUUUUACAAAAAAAUGCAAGUUUAAGUGUUAAAAAAUGCGACAAAUUAAAUGGAUGGCUAAAAUGACUUUUUGUAAAGUUGGAGGGCCAAAAAGUCAUUAUGACAUUAUUAUAUUACUAUUAUAUUUUAAUUGAAUUCAAAUUACGUUAGCACUACUGAGUAUACAUUAUCAGCAUAUGGUUUUGUUUGUUUUCGUUUGCAGUCUCGAUUGAGUGUUAAAGUAGAUUAGAGGUCCGGAAGCAACCAACUCGACAGCUGAGCUCACAAGUCAAGUUUGUGCCUAAUAUGUAUGUAUAUAUUUAGUUAGAUAGCGUGUACCUAAGUUGGUCUUAUGGUUUAAUGUAUAUGUUGAUGUUUUGGUAUAUUUUGAUAGUUUGACCUAUAAUAUUUUCGGAAAUGAAUUUUAACUCUUGAUUAUAAAAUAAUCUUGCAUGAUUAUAUGUGUUUGAUUAUGCAUUUUACUUUGUUGGAUAGUGAUGCGUUGAAUACUUUGGUUAAAUGUUUAAAUGUGUUUUCCUAUGUUAAAUUGAUGUGUUUGAGGUAAACUUUAGGUAAAUGUAGGUGUGUUUUGAUUAAAUAAUGAAAGCAUUGAACUAUACAUUUUAGGCCAUUUUAUCAUAGAGUCUUGAGACAUGUUUAUGUCUUGAGACAUCAAGAACAAAAAUUACCAUUUGAAGUAGUUCAUUUAUUAAGUUCUCGAGACUUAUUAAGAUAAAAUGACCUCUAUCUCGAGACAAGGGCAUGCCAAACUAAAAUAAACCUAUUGUAUUCCAAGGGUUUUUGUCUCGAGACAACCAAACAUUGAAGCUUAAUUAAAAAAACAGGAGAGGCCGUCUUGAGUCUAGUCUCGAGAUAAGGACUCUAAGGUCUCGAAAGGUCUUGAGACAUAUCCACAUUGAAGCAAAAAAUACCUAAAAUUAUGAAUGGCCUAUCUCGAAACAUAAAGCUUCUUGUCUCGAGACCCAAUGCUAAAUUAUAGGGGUAAGCAAAAUUCGAUUUGAUUUGAAAAAAUAAAAAUAAAAAUUUAAAUUUUGAGUUAUUCGAAUCUAGUUAUUUGAAUUAUUCGAGAAAACUCGAAUAAGAAAUUUUGGAUUUCGAGUUCAAGUCAAGUUGAAUUUUUACAAUUCGAAUAACUUGAAUAAUUUCAAUAACAGAUUAGUAUAAAUACUGUUUUGGUCCUUGUCAAUUUUGAAAAUGAGCAAAUUGGUCUCUCUCUUAACAAAAAUUACAAAAAAAAAAUCAAAGUAAUUUUCAAAUUUUGAAAAUAAUUUUUAAAAUUCUAAAUAUUUAUAGAAAUUCUAAAAUUCUAAAAUUAUAAAUUUUAAAAAAAAUCUAAAAAAAUUUAUACAAAAUUUAAUAAAAUAAUAAUUUUGGAAUCUAAAUAAGUGAUUAAUGAUUCAAGUUUAUCAUACUAAAAUAUCUUAUUUUUAUUAUUAUUUUGCUUUAAAAAAGUUUUCAAAUAUAUAGUGUUUCAAAUUUUUGUGUUCUACAUUGGAAAUAGUUAUAUUGUACAAGAUUUUAAUUUAACAUUAUUAAUUUUUCUAAUUUAACUCAAAUGGUUUCACUCGAUUCAAUCAAACGCUCACCCCUAAUUCGAGUUAUCUGAAAAUCUAAAUAAAAAGGGCAAAAUUACGCCGUCUUGAUAAAUGUUUACCUUUUUUAAAAUUAAAAAUCAAAACUAUCAAGUUAAAAGGUAAAAAUAUGUUGUUUUGAUAAAUGUUUACCCAUUAGUCUUACUUUCCUUCCCGAAUCGUCCCACUCUUCUUUUUUUUCCUUUAAUCAAAAUUAAUCUAAAAGCUUGUAUUUUGUCUACUAGUAAAAUAAUUGGUCCAUGUAAACAGAAUAAUGAGAAUAAAUAAUAAGAUUCGUUAAUUUGACUUGAUUCCACUCGAAAUUUUUUUGACUCGAUUCGAAAAAAAUUCAAAUCGAGUUCGAUUGCUAAAAUAGGAUUCAUCAACUUGACUAACUCAAAAUUUUUUGACUCGAUUCGACUCUACUCAAUCGAAUACCCAUCCUUACUAAAUUAUGUGUAUUAAGGUUUUGGACUCUAAGGUUAUGUUUAUCCUAUUAAUGUCUUGAGGUGUCAUGUUGUCCAAACAACGUAUAGAUUUUUUGUCGCCUCAAGGCCUUAAAUCAUCAUGCAAAGAAUUUCUACCCUUCUUCGUGCUAACAAAACACUCCAUUACUAUCUUUUGAUCGAUAAAAAUGCUUAAAUUUCCGUAGAUGUGGCUUCCUUUGGAUUGGAUUUUACCCAUGGUGAGAUGGAAAUAUUGGGUGAAUAUUCCUUUUCACUACACUGGUUUCUUGUUUGGAAGAUUUGAGGUGCGGUGCAAUUGAGCACUCUUAGGGUUUUUUACUAAUAUAAUAUAAAAAAAAACCUAAAUGGUACCCAAAAAAAUUAUUUACUAAAAUAGUAUAUCCAAGGUGGUGCCGCCUCUGGCAGUGGUGUGACCACCUUGGUUUUUUUGCCACCAACAGUAAAAAAAUAAAAAUAAAAAUAGCAAAAAAAACAUAAAAGCUAAAAAAAAUGUAAUAAAAAACAGAAAAAGGUGACAGCCGGCACAGGUGGAGGCCCUGCUGCAGGCGACACUGGUGGUGGGCCUACCACAGGCAGCACCAAUAGUGUCGGUGGCAGAGGCGGCACCAGGCGAUUAGACUCCUCAUACAGGGGUUUUGGUUUUUCUUUGUUUGGGGACCAUAGUUCAUUUCGGGAAGAAAGAAGGAGAAUAAGGCGACGCUGUGAGGGAAGGAAAAAGAAAAAAAAAAGAGAAGUAGAAGAAGAGGGAGGGAAGGAAAAAGAAAAAAGAAGAAGGGAAAAACAGGUAAAUUUUUUUAUUAUAAAUUGAGUAAUUAAUGUUAAUUUAAGUAAACAAUUUAUUUAUUUUAGGUCUUAUUAUUAUUAUUGUUGAUUGAUUUUGAUUUAAUUCAAAUUUAAUUUUAAAUUUAUUUUUUUGCAAGGUGUUAUUUGGUUAAAAAGAGAUAUUAAGGUGUAAUAGGCCCAAUUUGCCCGGCCUAUUAUAAACCAAAGAUAAUAAAUAUAAAAACCAAAAUAAAAAACAAUAAACGACCCAAAAUUAAUCAAAGUCCAAGCUCUUUUGCAAAUAAUAAAACCUAACCUAACCAUUAAACCCAAACCACCUAGCCCGGUUGAUAAGCUAACCCAAUUAACAAACAACCCAAACCCCAACCCAUUUGAAAUACGACCCAAUUACAAGAUUGGCCCAUAUGACUGAAACUUUGGUUUCAGAAGCCGAAACCCUAGCCAUCUCCCCUAGCGCCGUAACCAGUAGUCGGUCUCUAGCACCAUACGUGCGCCAUCGUCCCUCGCGCCCUCCUCCGUUCGUGUCUUUAUACGGCUAUUCCUGCAAUAGAACACACAAGAAGAAGCAGCUAACAGAAUACACAGCAAAUGGCAGCAGGAAAAUAUAAUUUCUAUUUUUCAUUUAUUCUGUAAAUUUGGGCUAUAAAAAGCCAUCGUUUGUACUUGAAAAUUUUACGCACACUGAAAUAGGCAUAUAAAUAUCGAAUACAGAGAAAAGGCAUUUAGAAAUCAAUUUUGGAAAGGUGAUUCUUAGAUCUAGCAUUUUUUUUCGAUUUUAUUUCUUUGUUCUUUGUAGUGGGCAAAUUUGCCCGGGCCCACUAGAAACCCAAAUAUAUAUAUAAUAUAAAAUAAAUAAAUAAAUUUAAAACCCAAGUUUAUAACAGUCCAAUAAUAAGCCCAGUUACAUAACCCCUAGCCCAAAUUUGUAACAAACCCUGACCCGAAUCUACAAGGCCCGAUAGGCCCAGAACACUAAAACAGGACAGAACCCUAGCUGUUUGCUUGUGCCGCAGCCGUCCGAGCCCCUCUAGUGCCUCCGCCCACGCCAAGCCUGCAACACCGUACGACCAGCACACAACCCUCGUAUGCCACGCCACACCUCCGUACGCCAACACAUCAUCCGUACCUGCAAAAGAACAAACCACAACAGCAAAUACAUACAAAAGAAAACAACAACAAAAAGAGAAUUUGUAUUCAAUUUUUAUUUCUAUUUUUUGAAUAUCUCUUAUUUCUGUAUCGACUAUAAAGCCAAAGCCCCUGCUCAUUGUAAUUUUUUUACGCGCACAAUCAAUACAUUUUUGAAAUACAAAAACGCAAAAGAAAUUGAAAGGUGAGACUCAGAUUCUAGUUCUUUUUCGUUUUCCCAUCCGUUCCUUUUUCUCCAGUUUUACAUACUGCACAUUUUGAACAUAAGAAUCGAAGAGGAAAAAGGGCGAAACCCUACCUUCGCAUAUGAGCCAUCGAAGACCUCGUCUCCUUCGCUGAAAUCGGAGUCGGAGAUGGGAUUUCGGGGCUUAAAUCGAUGAACUCCAUGCUGGAGUGAACGAAAGAGCGAAAAGGGGGGUACUGAAGGAUAUCACUCGUCGUGGCAGUGAUGAAAGGAUGGCCGAACGGCGCAGAACCUUUAGGGUUCCCCCUCUCCCUGUUUUUCAGCUGAAAUGUCUAGGGUUUUCAGGGGCUUCGCCUUCUUUUAAUCUGCGAUGCGAAACGGUGCCGUUUGAGGCAUGGUUUGUAGCCUUAAAACGACACUGUAUAGAGAACCCGGCCCGACCCAUUCUCAGGUACCCUCAGGACCCGCGUGUUUUCGCGGUGAAAGCUUAUUUUCAAGAUUGGUCCAUUCCCUUCGUAUCGUUGUUCGAUUAGGCUUAGUUCAGAUUUAUUUCUUUUAAAUUCGGCCCUUAUAAUUUGUAUGCGUUUGCAUUCUAGUCCGUGCACAUGCGCUGCGUUUUGGGGUCUGGAUUAUUUCCAGGUUUGGCCCCUGCACAUUCACCCCUGUUGCGCGCUAAUCCUUCCUUUUCAUUUUUUACAGUUUAUUUUAUUUAAACUAUCCUCCUUAUUUUUUUAAUUUGACUUCAAUUUGGCUUCUUUCUAGAUUCAUUUAAAUUUUCUUUUUAUUUUAUUUGUGUUUAUUUAUUCGUAUAAGUUACACCAUAUGUAUCUUUUUAUUUAAUUAUUUAUCGCAAUUUUGGUACACAUAUUUUCACAUUUUUGCAUACCCCUUUUUACAAAUGUUUUUACAUUCGCACUAUUAUAUAUGUAUAUAUAUACAUAUUUGAUGACAAAAUUAGCUUUAUUUCAUGUGUAUUAUUAAUGUCACAUUAGUUCAUGCAUAUGUCUGUUUUUGAAUUCUUCACAUAUUUAUAUAUAUUAGUUGUUCAAAAGGAAACUACAUGUUUUAUUUAUUACUUAAAUAUCAUACAUGAACGUUGGUAUAUAUAUAUAUCUAUAUUAUUCUAUACAUAACUAAACUCAUAUGUUUUUGUUAUUUUAAUAUGUUUGAUACACAUGUUUUACAUAUCAUUUAAAUUAUUUUUUUACUUAUAUAUAUUCUUUAUUUCUUUUAAAUCUAAUUUUGAUAUUAUAUAUAUUUUUGGUUCGUUUCAAAUGUUUUCCUAUAUUAUUAUCAUCCUUUUUGUAUAAACGUUGUUUAUAUUAAGCUUUUUAUUUCAUGAACAUUAUUUAUUGUGGAUGAACAAAUCUUGUUUCAAAUUAUUUUUGUAUAGUCACUAGUUUCAUAUUACAUGAUUAGUAUUUCAUAUACAUUCUUUUGAAUAUUUUUAUGCGGUUAAACCCAUAUAAUCUAUUUACCUUAAAACUUUCUAACAUGUAUGCCAUUGGUUUAAAAUUUAUGUUGACAUCCACUACUAUAUUCAUGUAUAAUAUAAAUAAUCGAUAAAUUUCGGGUUUAAAUCGUUUUGUAUAGUUUUCUUUCCAAAAUUCUUCAUAUAAUACUAUUUUUGAAAUUCAUUUAUAUGUUAAAGUUUAUAUGUUAUUUACUCUAUUUUUUUAUUUGUUUGAUGAUCUAACUCAAAUUUUUAUGCGUAUAUGCAUAUUCCUAGUUUCUAUAAAAUAUUUCGAAUUCUAGCAUAUGCUAGCUUUUAUGAUCUAUUUAUCUUAUAUCAUGCUAUGUACAUUGUUGUGGCAUAUUAUUGUAUGUAUUAUCUUGCUUGUGAUUGUUAUAUUAUCAUUUUCGUCAUUGUAUUAUUAUAUCAAUUAUUCUCCAUGCAUGGUUGAAAUUGAAUUAUAUUUCCAAACUAGUUAUGCUUAUUCAUUUAAGUUCUUGUAGUUGAUGGUAUUACCUUCAUUUUUCCAUUGUCGUAUUUUUAUGAAUGCACAUAUUACCCCAUUCAUCGUUUUCCACUUGAUUUUUGAAAUGUGGUUUUAUAAAACCAAAAUUUCGUGAUUAAUUUCGUCUUAUUUCAAAUCGAAUUAAUACGUCUUAAGCUAGCUUUAUAAUCAUUCAUUCAAAAAUUCUUCAAAACGAAGAUGAGAUUCGAUGUUUGGCAAUUCGCGGAAUCGUGCCCUAACGUGUUGGGUUGAAAUUUCGCGUUUGCUCAAAAUAAUCGAAUAUUACUUCAAAAUUUUCACUCAUGUCUUUUAAAGUUCUUCAAAAUGAAGACGAGAUUCGAUAUUUAGCAAUUCGCGGAAUUGUGCCAUAACGUGUUGGGUUGCAAUUUCGCGUUUGCUCAAAAUAAUCGAGUAUCCCUUCAAAAUUUCAUUCAUAUUUUCUAAAAAUUAUUUAAAACGAAGGCAAUAUUCGGCGUUUGACAAUUCGAGAAUCAUGCCCUAUCGUGCUGGGUCGUGAUUUCUCGUUUGCUCAAAACGAUCGAACAUUCCUUUAUAUUCUCAUUCAUGUUUAUAAAAAAAACUUAAAAACGAAGACGAUGUUCAAUGUUUGGCGAUUUGAGAAUCGUGCCCUAUCGUGCUGGGUUGCGCUUUUUCAUUGGUUCGAAACAAUUGAAGAUCCCUUCAGAAUUUCACUCAUAUUUUCUAAAAUCUUUCAAAAUGAAGGCGAUGUUCGAUGUUUGACGGUUUGAGAAUCGAGCCCUAUCGUGCUGGGUUGCACUUUUUCAUUUGUCCAAAAUAAUCGAAUAUCUCCUCGGGAUUUCACACGUAUUUUAUAAGGUUAGGCAAUGGUCAAUGCUUGGAAAUUCGAGGAAUCGUACCCUACUGUGCUGGGUUUCAAUUUUUCGUUGGACUAAAUGGUUGAGCAUCCUUUUGUAAUUCUCGAAUUAUAAACUUUUAGAUGUCGAAACAAGAAGAUUUUUUGGCAACCUACUCGGGUUAUUCAAACAUUAUCAAAAAAGAACCACAUUUCAAAAACGUUUUUAAUUUUAGAUAUAAGGACAGUAUUUAAUCGAUUUGGUACCAAUUUUGGGCGUAGUGAGGGUGCUAACCCUUCCUCAUACGUAACCGACUCCCGAGCCCGUUUUCUAAAAUUUUCGUGGACCAUAAUCGGUGUUUUAGUAAACUGAAACUGUUUUAUUAAAAUAACCAAAUCCUCAGGUGAUCCGAUCACAUCAAAACAAGAGAUCGGUGGCGACUCCAUAUUUCAUUUUCAAAAAGUCGAUUCCCCUGUAUUUUCAUUAAAUUUAAAAUUUUAAAAUUUUUGAAAAAAUGAUGGUUUCGACAUUCUUCUUGGUUUUUGUUUACGGUAUAAGAAAAAAUAAAAAGGGACUUACCUUGGUAUUGACUUUUGAAUCCUUGUUGGCUUCGCAAUAAUCGAAGUAUAAGUGAUGAUUCUGUGGCUUAAGGGCAGCAAAACCUUCGAGUGCGUCUUCGAAUAAGACAAACCAUGCUUUCAUAUGGUGUGAUUCACCGAAAUAUGGAAGCAAAAAGGCGGCGGGGCAAAGAACCAUUUGAUUCGGCCGCAUGAGAGGAAUAGGAAACUUAAGUUUUUGUUUUGAUUUUUUUAAAAAUGAUUAGGGGUUCAUUUUAGGGUUUCCUUUUGUUUGUAUGGAGUAUAGGGAGCGACGUUGUUUUGAGCCAAUCUCAAUGGCUUUGAAACGGCACCGUCUGGAAACCUCAAACCCGAUAACCCGACCCGUACAAAGUUGAGAUCCGCGCACUUGGUCCUUGAGGGUUAAUUGUGCGUUUAGUCCUCCCUUUCGCGUUGUUGUUUAAUUGUACCUUAUUUGCUUUACUUUAUUUUUUAGAAUUUAUACAUAUAAUUUACACAUGAUGUCAAUUAGGUCCACGCUUCAACGCAACGUUUUGAGACCUAGAAUAUUUCCAGCUUUGGUCCCUGUAAUUCGCACAUGUUGCGCAUUGGUCCCUAUUUUAAUUCCAUUAGUUUACUUUAUUUAUAAAUUAUCCCUUUUAUUUUAAAUUUAUUUUAAUUAAGUUUUCUAUCUAUACAAUGCGUUAUUUUUAAGAGAAUUCAUUUAAUAUUUUUUUAUGUGUUGAGAUUACUUUAAUAAUUUUACUUUGUUAAAAAAAAUCAUUAUUUUAAAAUCUUCAUGUUAUAUUAUUUUAACAUUUUGUAUAAUAUUCCAUUUAAAUAUUUUUAUAUAUAUUUGUACAUAUAUACUAUUUUAAUUGAGCUUUCCAUUUGAAAUACUUAUUAUUUUAAAGUUCAUAAUAUUUUUAUAGGUGUUGAGAUACUUUAAUAACUCUACUUUGUUUUUAUAAAAUCACCAUUUUAAAAUUCUUUUUAUAUCAUAUUAUUUUAACAUUUUAUAUAGUAUUUCGUUUAAAUGUUUAUAUGUAGAUUAGUACAUAUAUUUAAUCCUAGACUCAUAUUUAAUUCCAUGUUACUUUUACAUAUAAUUGCUUCUAAAUUUAUUUAUAUAUGUAUAUGUUUUUUAAAUCUAUUGUGUGCAUAAUUUAUUUCCUAAGAUUAUAUUUUAUUAUGUAUUUUUACUAUCCUUUCAUAUUUUAUAUAUUAUUUAAAUUCUCCUUCAUUGUGUGUAUAUUGUCAAUUUUUUAUAAAUAUUUUUUUUUAACAUUUGGCAUAUUAUUUGAUUUAAAUGUCUUCUUUUUGCAACAUCAAUUUUAAAAAAAUUAUAAUAUAUUCUUUAUUUUUUAUUAUAAAUUAUUUCAAGUUCUAGCAUAUGUUAUUUGCUCAUCAAUCCAUCAUUUUUAGAAAUUGUUUUUGUAUCGUAUUAGUUUUAUGUUGUUUGGUACCUCAUGUGUUAAUUGUUUUUAUAUUAUUUCAUGUAUAUUUGCUACAGCACAUUUAUUCGUUUUUAUGUAUUAUUAAAUCAAUUGUUGUUUACCCAUGCUUGUGAAUUUGGUUAUAUUUUGGAUUAAUUAUAUUUAAUUGUUUGUUUUGUUAGUUGGUUAAAUAAGGUUAUGUUAUCUUCAUUCACCAAGUAUUGUAUUUUACGCAUGCAUAUUAUCCCAUGAUUAUUAUUUUUCUUUUGGUUUACAAAUGUUGCUUUAUAAUUUUCAACUCUUUGAAAUCAAUUAUUCCAUUUUAUUUCAAAUAAAAUUAAUGCGUUUUGAGCUAGUUUACAAUGGUUUAUUUUAAAAAAAUUUAAAAUAAGGCAAAGCUCAAUGUUUAGAAAUUCAAGGAAUCGUGCCCUACUGUGCUGGGUUUCGGUUCUUCGUUGGACUAAAUAAUUGGGCAUCCUUGGAUAAUUUUCAACGUAUGAGCUUUUGGAAGUCAAAAAUCAAUUGUGUUUUCAAAGGUAUAAAGGAUCGUGUCCUAUCAUGCUGGAUGUGAUGCUGUAUACCUUUGAAAUGAGAGAAUUUUGACGACCAACUUGAACCACUCAAAUGUUUUAAAAGGAACCAUAUUUCAAUUUUUUUUCUAAAAUCUUAGACAAAAGGACAACACUUAAUCAAUCUGGUACCAAUUUUCGAGCGUAGUAAGGGUGCUAACCCUUCCUCAUACGUAACCGACUCCCGAACCUAUUUUUAAAUUUACGUAGACCAAAAUUGAUUUAAAUGGAAUAAAAUGUUUUAUUAGGUAAUCCAAUCACACCUAAACAAAAAGAUUGGUGGCGACUCCAAACUUUGCUUUAAAAGUCGAUCCCCCUUUUUUAUUCAAAUAAAAAAUGGUUUCGACAUAAGGUAUGUUUGUAUUUAUUUUAUAUUUUCAUUCAUUCCUAAUUUAUUUUUAAUUUUUAUUGAAGUAAAAAAGCUAUGUUAUGUGCAAAAAAUGGUUUGUUAUUAUUAUUUUAUGUAAUUUAUUUGUUAAGUGUGUUUUUGGUUGAUUAAAUAUAUUUUUUAUAAAAUUUAUUUGGCAUGUUAUAUUCUGAUUAUUUUAAUUUUAUUUUCACUACAGGAAAAUAGGGCUUUAGCGGCGUUUUUAGUGGCGUUUUAUUAAAAAACGCCGCCAAAAUUUUAAAAUUCAGAGCAAUAGCGGCGUUCCAAAAAAAACACCGGUAAAAACAGAGCAUUCGCGGCGUUUUUUACUAAAACGCCGCUAAAAAUAAAGCAUUAGCGGCGCUUUAGGUAAAACACCGCUAAAAACCAGAGCAUUAGUGGCGCUUUAGGUAAAACGCCGCUAAUAACCAGAGCAUUAGCGGCGCUUUAGGUAAAACGCCGCUAAAAACCAGAGCAUUAGCCACGCUUUAUGUAAAACGCCGCUAAAAACCAGAGCAUUAGCGGCGCUUUAGGUAAAAUGCUGCUAAAAACCCCAUAACCCCUAAACCUCAAAAAGAAUCAUAAACACUAAUCUCUAACCUCUAAAACAAUAAUUAUUAAAAUUUAUGAUUAUACAAUAUAUUGAAUAUUUUCUUAUAUAAUCAUAAAAGAGAUAGUAUUGAAUUUAAAAUAUUAAAUUAAUUAUCAUUAUAUUUUAAGGAUUAUGGUUUAAGCAGGUUCAAUUAUGAUCGUUAACUAUGGUUUAAGGUUUAGGAGUUAACUAAUAUUUGAAGGUUUAUGAUGAAUUCGGGGUUUAUGGAUUAUGAUUUAGGGUUUAAAGGUUAGGGUUAAAGUUUAGAGUGGGACAAUUAUUAUUAUCUUCUUAAGAGAUAAUUUCCUUUCCAGAUUCUUAUUUGGGAUGCUAUAUAUUAAGAAAGGGUGAUUUUGAAUGUGGAAUUAGCAUUUGUUGAACUAUGUAUAAAUUCCAAGCUUAUAUAACAUAGAAAUAUCUUACAGAGUGGACAUUAUAACUAGAGUGUUCCAAUAGAGAAUUAAUUGUUUUAUUAAAGUUAUGUAACUUUGUAUAAAUAGUAAUGCUAUUGUGUAUUUUUAAGUAUCUAUUUUUUUUUGUUUAAAUAUAUUUAGAUUAAAUAGAAUGUCUGAAAUAAAAUAUGUUAAAAAUUAAGUUUAGGUUAAGGGUUUAAGGAAAUGAUACUAUUAGCUAGAUAUUAACUGAAGAACAUAAUUUGGAUUUUACUAAGAUUCAUGUUAUUUUGUAUAUACGUACUCAUAAUAUUAUUUAAUAUAAGAAUAUAAACAUAUAUAUAUAUAUAUAUGUGUUUUAAUUUGUACUACAUUAACAUUGGCCACACGAAUUCCCAAAAAUAUGUUUAUUAUGGUUUAGGGUUAACAAUUUUUUAGAGUAUAUAUACUUUAUAGUUUGAGCUUUAUGGUCCAGGAGUUAUGGUUGGUUUAGGGGUUUAAAGUUUGGGGUGAGGGUUUUUUGUUUGUGGACUAAGGUUUAGGGUUUAGAGUAUCAGGUUUAGGGUUUCAAAUUUAGAGUAUAAUUUUGGAUUUUAAUUUAGAAGAUAAAUGUAUAUAAGAUAAAUAUAUAUAAAAUAUUAUUUUAAAAAAUAUAUAAACAUAUAUAUGGAAAGUGGUUUAGUGUGCAAUUGUGUACAUGAACUGUAAUUUGAUCUAAAUCUUGUAAAAUAUUAAUUUACACGUUAUUGAUAUAAUAAACAGCAUCAUGUUUUUAUUUAAUUAAUUAAUUUAUAUGCAUACAUAAUAUGUAUUUUAAAAUGUGUAUUAAAUCAAAAUUAAAGUUUCAACUAUAGUUAGGGUUUUAGGGUUUAUAUAUAUUUUAAAAGAAAUUCUAAAUAUAUAGUUUUAAAUUUUGAUCAAUUUCUAUAAAAUAUUCAGGUAUUAGCGGCGUUUAUACAUAAAAAGCCGCAAAAGAUAGAAAAUAGCGGCGUUUUUUUAGAAAACGCCACAAAAUUUCAUUAUACAUUACAGUAAAACGGCGUCGUUUCCUCUGAAUAGUAGUGGCUUUAGCGGCGUUUCUAUAAUAAACGCCACAACGCGUAUUAGAACGGCGUCGUUUUAUUGUGUAUAUAAAAUAGGUAUUAGUGGCGCUUUGCUGAAAACGCCGUAAAAGGUCUUAUUAGCGGCGCGUUACUAAAAACGCCACAAAUUUUGCUUAUUUGAAAUGGCGUCGUUUUUUCUCUCUUGAGGUUUAUGCCCUUUACCCGAAAUCGGUUUCAUUUUUUUGCUAAGUCUUUUUCCCCCAUCUCGUCUUCCUUCCCCAAAUCCCUAAAACAAAACCUCUUUUUUUUCCCCAAAUCAUCCCCUAAUUCCCCAAACCCGAAAUCCCUAACAUUUUCCCCAAGUCCUCUUUUUUCCCCUUAAUCUGUUCCCCUCAUUCCUGAAAUCCCUUACUUGUUUUCCCUUUCCUGUCGUCGACGGUCAGAUGGUUCAUGGGUUUUAAAUGGUUAGUUUUUUAGUCCCCUUUAGAUUAAUGUGUAGUUACUGUAUUAGUUGGCUUUUAUUUUUUUUGGGAUUUUAGAUUAAUGAUGUUGAUACUGAUGUUGAUGUUGAUCUCGAUGAUUAUACCAUUGUUUUAAGUAAACCCAAUACCGGGUCUGGUGUUUCUGGUGCUGUUUUGAACUGAACCACCACAAUUAUUGGUGCUGGAAUCAUGGCUUUACCUGCUACUAUGAAGGUUCUGGGGCUUGUUUUAGGGAUUCUCGAUCAGUGGUUAGGACUGGUUCGGUUCGUAAUGUCUGGGUGAUGUUAUGUCUGGUUCGGUUCGUCAUAUUGGGGUUCUCGAUCAGUGGUUAGGACUAGUUUUGGGGAUCAUAGGAAGUUAUUGGUUUUGGUUGUUAUGGUUGUUUUUCUUGCUCCACUUUGCGUGUUAGAUAGGAUUGAUUCAUUGAGCAUGACUUUGGCUGCUUCGAUAGCUCUCGCUGUUGUUUUAAUUGUGGUUUGCUUUGCUGUUGCAUUCAUUAAGCUUAUUGAAGGGAAGAUAGAGGCUCCAAGGAGGAGCCUAGAUUUUGGAUCGAAAAUGGCAAUUUUGGAUUUACUAGUAGUUAUCCCUAUUAUAACUAAUGCAUAUGUUUGCCAUUUCAAUGUUCAACCUAUAUACAAUGAGCUCGAAGGUGAUAUUUUGACCAAUUUUGAUAGGAAUCUGGGAAUUUGUUUUAGCACUGCUUUGAAUUAUAUUUGGUCUUUAUUUGGUUCUGGUUUUCCCUGUUAUUCACUUUUCUCUAUGGCAAACUGUGGAUAACUUGGUGUUUGAGGGAUCAGCUCCUCUCACGGAGAGUAAAAAAUGGUCUUUGGCAUUAACAGUAAUAUUGUUAGUGCUUAUAUAUAUUUGAUCUACUAUGUUCCCAAAUAUAUGGACAGCUUUCAAAUUUACUGGAGCAACAACAGCUUACUGUCUUUUAAUAUGUAUACAAUGUAACUUACUGUCUUUUAAUGGUAUUGAGCUUGGUCCUAUUUCUCCUGUUAAUGUUAUGCCAUAUUGCUGGCUGUUUUUUUUAAUCAUUUUAUUUGUUUAUUCCCACCUGUUAUUAUGCAAUAUAAUUAAUAUUAUACCAAUCAUUAAAUGUUGUUUAUUUUUAGAACUCAUUUGAUUGUUUUGUCGACCAGAAACAGACUUUUGUUCUUCAAAUGCAAUGAGUAGGGAAGUCUCUCGAAAUUAUUAGAGAUCAAUCCCAAGCAUCUCUAAAUAAACCCUCAAGAAAACAUUUCCAUUUCAAUCAAGGUAACAUUUUUUUCCUAACAUUUAUGUUUCUUUCAACAUGUUUUUCCUUUUAUGUUUUCAAUGUUUAAUUAACAUUUAAUUACAUUCCUAAAGUUUUAAUGUUUUUCCUAACAUUUAAUUAACAUUUUAAUUACAUUCCUAAAUUUUUAAGCUUAUUUCAUCCACUCUUUUUUGUGUUUUGUCUUGAUUUGGCUUCCUUCGUUAAGUUUUCUAUAGAAGCUUACUUAUCUUUUAUUUUCAAGAAAUAGAUUUAGGUAAUGGAAGAUGUAUGCCUGUGUGUUUGUGUCUCUAUAUAUGUAUGUAUUUGGUACUAGAUGAAAGCUUUAUUCCAGUUUUGAAAUAUAGACCAAGUUUUGCAUACAUUGAUCAAUUUCUGGCUCUUUUCCUUUGAAUACAUGGUUCUCUUGAUACUAAAUACUCAGGUACUUUCUGCAUAUUCUGUGAUUCUUAUUAGAUAAGUUAUAUAUCAACAGCUAUGUUAGUUUCCAUCAAGGCCUCUGUAAAUAUAAAGUUGGUAUUCUGGUUAGGAGAAGUUAAUGUUUAUGAGUUUUGUGGAGUAUGAUUCUGCACAUGCAAAGUUGGUCUGUGCAUUUUCAUGUUUACAUAAUAAUGGUGAUUCCAUUUUGGUUAUUUAGAUGUUAUUUUGGUCUGUUUUCAUGCUUCUAUCCAACUUAUGUGUUUAGUGUGGACUUAGAUUGAUUUAAGAGUUUAUUGCUGUCUUGUUGCUCACGUUUUAUAUAAUAAAAUUGUUAUAUUUUGGUUAUUUAGAUGUUCUUUUGGUCUGUUUUUCAUGUUUCUAUCCAACUUAUGUGUUUAGUGUGGACUUAGAUUGAUUUAAGAGUUUAUUGCUGUCUUGUUGCUUACGUUUUAUAUUGUUGAAUUCCUCUAUUCAUUUUCUUUCAGUUAUGUGAAGAAAUUGGCUGUGCUUUGACUGCUUUCUUAUCCAUUUGUUUAUUAUUUUUUAUUGUUUGAAUUGGAAUUGUCCUGGGGCAAUUCUGCAUUUAUUUGCCUGGUACUGAAUGUUAAAAACUGCAUUUAUUGUUCUGCGUCCUGGAAAGGGACCUUUUCAGUUUUGAGCUUACUGGGCUGUUGUUUGGUUUUUCAAUCUCUGCAGUAAAACCAGGUUUAUAUGAAUUUACAGUUUUAUUGACAUUAUGUUCUAUUUCACCAUUCUUGAAAUUAUGUGAAGAUUCUUUCUAAUUUUCUCCUCGGCUGUCUCUAGAGUCUAGCCUAAUAUUGAUUUUUCCUUUUCAUGCAUUUUGAAUCAAAUAAAAGAAUUUUAGCAUGCAAGAAAAAGACACUUUACUUGCUUGCGAGAGUAAUUUUUCAUGUUCUUUUGGGAACCUACACAUUGGGUUGUUAACCUGUUCAUGUCUAGUUCUGUGUCAAUCAUUUUAUCCUCACUUGUUUCCUGUUGGAUUCUUUUUAGUUUCAUACCCUCCAUACUACCAAAAAGGAAGUGCUCUGUGAGACAAAGUCAAAAGUUCUAAGAUAUUUUUUUCAUUAUAUUGUUUUUGUUCACCAAACCUAGAACUUAAUAAAAAUGAUGGUUGUGAAAUUUUAUAAAUAAUGUUCCUGAAAUGUUGGUAAUAAACCAAAAAAGAAGAGAAUUGCCUGCCAUGCUGAAAAUUCUUGAUGAGAGUUAAGAGAACAAGAGGUGGCUGUUGUCCUUAAACGAAAUUGUUAGUAUUGGAGUUUUUUCUUAUGCUUUCUGUCUUUAGAAUAUUGAUAUUAUUUCCUAUGAUGCUCUGAUUCAUGUGUGAGUGGGAAUGAGCAUGCUAGUAUUUGCUUGUACUUAUUCUGAAACCUGUUUUCAGAUGUAGGAUAAUUUGUUCGAUUUGGGCACUUUAGGAAAGUCAAGGUUUGAAGAAACAGCUGACUGGAUUUGCUAAUUGUGUUAUGUGCCUUGUAUUUACAAUUUUUUGGCAGAGGUGGAAGUCAUUUGUAUGCUCAUAAAAGAUUUUGUAUUUUUUUGCAGAAAUGGUUUGAAAAGAUGUGCAGUUUUGCCAGAUUUUGCUGAGGGGUACAGCUUCAUUUACUACUUCCUGCUCCUCCUACAAGUAUUGGUUCAACUGAAGCUGCCAUUUAAUCUUCGAAUUAAAAUUUGGUACUGAUAUAGAUAAAGUUUUUAUAUUUUCUUAAACUGAAAUAUAUUUGGUGCUACUCUUAUAAUCUUACAUCUGUUCUACGUACUAUCGAGCACCUGAAAUAAUAUUUGGUGCAACUAAAUACACCACAGCCAUUGACAUUUGUUCUAGGUACGUACAGGCCGUUUAGUUGCUAAUUUUUUUUCCUUAUUUCUAUGCAUUUUCACUUUAAAUUACUUAACAAAUAUUACUUUUUGGACUCCAGCCUCUGUUUGCUGGUGAUAGUGGAGUAGACCAGGUACGUUUUAUUAAGGUACGUUUUAAAUAUUUUAAAGAUUCAAAGUAUAUAGGCUGGAAACCUGACCUUAUAGUAUUACUUAUUUGAAGUAUGAAUAAGUAUGAAUUAAUUUUAUUACCAUAUAUGUAGCUUGCUUGUCCAUUAUAAUUACAACAAUAGUUGACCUUCUCUCCAACCUUAUUUUAAAUAUUUUAAAGAUUCAAAGUAUAUAGGCUGGAAACCUAACGGGUUGCCUUAUAUCGAGCUGCAAGAUAUAAUGGAUCCUCCCUAGGUGUAACAACGCCACGUAUGAUGAAUCUUAAAAAAUUCAAAUGUUUCAAUUUAAUAUGUCCCAUCUAAUAUACAAAUAUUUAAUAAAAUAUUUUAUAUAGUUUUUAACUUAAAUUUAAAUUAUUAUUGAAAUAUUCUCGUCUGUUUUAUCACAAAUAUUAUUCUCCGUUUUAUUACAAAUAUUAUCGUCCGUUUUACCAUUUAAGUUAAACUUUUUAUUCAAACUAAAUCAUAGCUUUUAAGCUAAAUACGGAUGUCCACACAGUGCUUUAAUAUGUACUUAAGAAAAGAUGACUUGUAAAACAUAAAUUAAAUUAAGUGUGGACUAUUUUAACUGCACAUGUGAUUUGUCAAAUAAAAACGAACGACAUGUAUAUUAUUUAAUUAAAAUAAUUUUUAUAAAUAUUAUUUAAUUAAAUAUUAUUUAAUCUCGCUACUUACCUGUAGAUACUUGAUAUUUGAUAUGUAUUAUCCAUGUGAUUUUCCACAUCGUGAAAUAAAAAACUUACAUAAUACAUAAAUAUAUUUGAUAUCAUAAUUUACAUAACUUAUAUAACAUAUAUAACUUACAUAACUUAUAUAACCUACAUAACUUAUAUAACUUAUAUAACUUAGAUAAAUAUAUAACUUACAUAACUUACAUAAUACUUAAAUAUAUUUUAUAUCAUAAUUUACAUAACUUACAUAACUUAUAUAACUUAGAUAAAUAUAUAAUUUACAUAAAUAUAUAUCAUAUCAUAAAUUACAUAACUUACAUAAUACUUAAAUAUAUAUCAUAUCAUACAUAACUAGUUUACAAAAUUUACUUAACUUACAUAAUACAUAAAUCUAUAGUCGAAAAUCCUGCAACUUGCCUAAAUUAGUUUAUACCCAUUAGAGACUUGAUAUUUAGUAUAAUGAUAUGAUUUAAAUCAAUUGAGAACAUUUAAGUAACUGUAAUAUGUUGUCAACUUUAGAUUUCAAGAACUACAAAAUGGAUAGGAGUUGGAUGAAAUUGUCAAGGGUAAGCAAUGCCUAUCAAAAUGGAGUACAAACUUUUCUAAAUUUUGCAUUUCAAAAUGCAAGCCAAGAGAAUAUGAUUCUUUGCCCGUGUAAGAAGUGUGGCAACAUCUACUGGCAUUUUCGUGAAGUUGUCUACGAACAUCUAAUUGUUGAUGGCUUUAUUCGGGGGUAUAAAAAAUGGAUUUUCCAUUGAGAGUGUACAUCUAGUGGAACUUCUUCAACGAUUAAUCCGACUUAUCCUGAUACUGAUUACCAUCAGUAUGUUAGACAAUAUGACAUGGAAGAUAUGUUGCGGGAUGCAUUUAAUAUGCGUAGUCAUGGUGAGCAAUCGUUUCCACUUGACUUUAUUAUAUCUGAGGAUUGUAAUAUUGGUGGAAAUGUUUUUUGCGAAACGGGAACAAGUGCACCUAAUGAGGAGCCAAAUGAAGAAGCGGCUAAGUUCUACAAUUUACUUAAUAAAAUGAAUGAAGAACUUUACGAGGGAUCAAAAUAUUCGAAAUUGUCCUUCUGCAUUCGUCUAUUUCAUUUAAAAUGUUUGGGAGGGUGGACCAGAAACUCUUUUACAAUGCUGCUAGAGUUUCUAAGAGAGAUGUUUCCGUUUGCAAAAAUUCCCCAGUCUUGUCAAGACAUGAAGAGACUAAUACAAGAUUUGGGCCUUGGGUAUGAUAAAAUUCAUAGUUGCCCAAAUGACUGCAUGUUGUACUGGGGUGAUAAAAAAAACCAACAAUCUUGUCAUGUUUGCGGUAAGUCUCGUUGGAUGAAUAGUAAUAUAAAAGAUGUGAAUACGGAUGAAGGUGGGGCACAGUUAAGAAAGAAGCCAGUCAAGGUCUUGCGAUAUUUUCCCCUGAUACCAAGACUUCAAAGGCUUUUCAUGUCCUCAAAGACAGCCGAAUCUAUGACGUGGCAUAAUGAUCAACGGACCGAUGAUGGAUUAUUAAGACAUCCUGCGGAUUCUUUAGUUUGGAAAUCAUUUGAAAGUAAAUUUCCAACCUUUGCAAGCGAUCCUCGGAAUGUGAGGCUUGGGCUAGCAACUGAUGGCUUUAAUCCAUUUAAAAUCAUGAGUACUUCGUACAGUACUUGGCCUGUAGUGCUUGUUCCUUACAAUUUGCCUCCAUGGAUUUGCAUGAAGCAAUCUUCAUUUAUUUUAUCAAUGAUUAUCCCUGGAGAGAAAGGUCCCGGAAAUGAUAUUGACAUCUAUUUGCAGCCACUUAUUGAAGAGUUAAAACAAUUAUGGUUGGGUGUUGAGACAUAUGAUGUAUUGAGAAAGGAGAAAUUUAAUUUACGUGCAGCUUUAUUAUGGACAAUUAAUGAUUUCCCGGCUUAUGCUAAUUUAUCGGGUUGGAGUACUAAAGGACGUUAUGCCUGUCCUUGUCGUGCUGCGCAAACUUGUUCGAAGUGGUUGUAUAAUGGGAAGAAGUUCUCUUACAUGGGCCAUCGUCGAUGGUUAGAUGAAAAUCAUAAAUUUAGAUUUCAGAGGACUCUAUUUGACGGUACUGAAGAGUACAGAGGAGCUCCUGAGCAGACCGUUGGAUCUGAAAUCUUGUUUAUGUUAAAAGAUAUCAACUUUAGUUACGGGAAGAUGAAUCAACCACCUAUCACGCAAACGAGGAGAAGAUCGAGGGAUGAAUCUGAUGAUGAAUCUGACGAAGAGGAUGAUCCUAAUGAGGCGGAGUUGUGGAAGAAAAGGAGUAUUUUUUUUGAGUUGCCUUAUUGGGAGCACAACAUUUUACGCCACAAUCUUGAUGUCAUACAUAUUGAGAAGAAUGUCUGCGAGAACAUAAUUGAGACAAUUUUAAAUGUCGAUGGAAAAUCAAAAGACAAUCUUCAGAGCCGACUUGAUUUAGUUGACAUGAGAAUCCGGCGUGAUCUUCAUCCUCAAGUACUUCCGAAUGGGAAAUAUCGGUUGUCGCCUUCUAUUUUUUCAAUGUCAAAGAAAGAGAAAGAAGUUUUCUGUAUGGUGUUGAAGGAUAUAAAGGUCCCAGAUGCGUAUGCGUCAAAUAUAUCUCGAUGUGUGAGUUUCAAAGAUAGAAGAUUAUAUUCAUUAAAAUCACAUGAUUACCACAUCUUGAUGCAAGAUUUACUCUCAAUUGCUUUACGGUGCUGUAUGUCAAAAAAUGUAACGUCCUGUAUAAUUGAACUAUCCAAUAUAAUGAAAGCUAUCUGUGGCAAAGUUUUGAAUGUCGAAGAACUUGAGAAAGUACAAGAUCGAGCGGCUUUGACUUUAUGCAAUUUAGAGAAGAUCUUUCCACCUUCCUUCUUCACUAUUAUGGUGCACUUGGUAAUCUAUCUCCCUCACGAAGCAAUCCUUGGUGGACCGGUUUUUUAUCGAUGGAUGUAUCCUAUAGAAAGGUGCUAAUUUAUUUCUCAAGUAUUCAUUCAUUCACCUCUAUACAUUUAGUUAUAGCUUUUGAUAAAUAUUGUAUAUCGUGUUUAGGUUCCUAAGCAAAUUGAAGUCAUAUUGUCGCAAUAAGCGUUAUCCAGAAGGAUCAAUUGCUGAAGGCUACUUGGCAGAAGAGUGCAUGACUUUCUGUUCUAGAUAUUUAGAAGAUGCUGAAACACGAUUGAAUAGACCAAGUAGAAAUGCUGGGCUCAAUGAUAAUGACUUGGCCGAAACUUAUUUAUUUCAAAGUUAUGGAGAACCAAUCGGCAAAGUUGAAAUUGUAGAAUUAGAUGAUAUAUCGUGGAUACAGGCACAUCGAUAUGUACUUUUUAACCACGAUUCAAUUGAACCGUUGCGCAAGUAAGUUAUAAAAUUGUCUUACAUAUUCGUCGUUUUGAUUUGUUUAUCUUCUAACCAAUUAAACUUGUUUUUAAUAUAGUGAGUACAAACAAAUUUUGAGAUCUCGUGCACGCUCUCGAAGAUUACAACAUCGAGAGAUUAAUAAGUUAUUCAUAGAAUCUUUUCAUGAAUGGUUAAGUCAAACGGUAUGUAACUAAAGUUAAUAAGUUACAUAUAAUCGCGAAAUUUAGUUAAUCAAAUAAGAAUGUUUUUACAUAAUACAUUUUUAAUUAUUUAAUUUACUUUCGAUUCAAUAGGUUUGGAGUGGGAAGGACGUCAAUGACGAAGUUAAAUGGCUUUCCCAAGGUCCGAACAGAGUAAUAAAAAGAUAUAGUGCCUUCCUCAUCAAUGGAUACAGAUUUCAUACAAAGUAUCGCGAGAGAAUGAGGAGAACUCAAAAUUGUGGAGUUGUUGUUAAUUCUUCAAUUACAAGUUAUGCUAGUGCUAGGGAUAGUAAUCCGGUUGAGGUUAAUGUGGAGUAUUACGGACUUCUUACCGACAUUAUUGAGUUGGAUUACUAUGGCAGAUGGAAAGUUAUCUUAUUUCGGUGUGAUUGGGCAAAUGUUAAUACUGCUCGAGGAAUUAAAAAAGAUCAAUUUGGGUUUACAAUGGUGAAUUUCUCUCGCUUCAUUCACACUGGACAACAAUUGAUGGACGAGCCAUAUGUAUUUUCCUCUCAAGUGAAACAAGUUUUUUAUUCGAAAGAUCCAACUGAUGAGGGUUGGUAUGUUGUACUCUAGAACACCCCUAGAGACUUGUUUGACAUGGGUAAUGGAAGUAGAGAUGACAUCGUCGAAAGAUCAGAAACAUUACCUUUUCCAGAACAAAACUUAGAUGAAAAUAUCCCUAGUACUAAUACACAACAUCAAUGGGUUCGACAUGAUGUGGAUGAAGAUAUUUACGAAUAAUGAUGUAGUAAGAUUUUACAAUUUUUUAAUUAUAUGUAAUAUUAUAAUUUUAAUCUUUGUCAUGUUAUAUAAUUUAACUAUUUUAUAUGUACUACUAUUGUUGUAAUUUGUUACUAAAACUUUAAUUAUUUUAUGUGUAUUGCAGGAAAAAUGCGUAGAAGAAGAGUACGAGAUUUAAGUAUUGUCCAGAAUACUCCAAAUUCGGAAGAAAGAAAUAGUGAACAGCAGACAGUUGUUGGAUCUUCGAAUAUGCCGGAGACACUUGAUGAGCCUGAAGAAUUUCAAAGUAAUAUUAUGUUCAUUUUACAUGUGUUGACUUUUAUUAUUGAAUUAUUUGUCAAUUUUACUACAAUAAUAGUAUAUCAUUUUUCAGCUGAAAGUGGUGGGACGCACAGAGUUCGAGGACGUACGCUACUUAGAGAUUUAUACGACUUAGAUCCUGUUGAGCGUGUUAAAGUAAGUAGAAAUACUCAUGGUCAGCCUAUUGGAUCUGAAGCUCGACUUUUAGCAGGCUAUUUGGGCAUUUUAGCACGAAAUGCAAAUAUGUUGCCCAUCAACUACGAAUCAUGGCAUUACAUGCCUGAUAGCAACAAAAAUCAGGCUCUCUCUAAUAUUAAGGUAACAAAAUGUGAAUGCAAUUUAUAAUACUUUGGUUUAAGUUUCAUUUAUAUUUACAUUCUAAACUUAUGUUUUUUUAGGAGAGAUUUGCUUUAGAAGUCUCCGAUGAUUAUAUCAAGAAGGCAUUAGGUAAAAGAUGGAGAGACAAUAAAAGCACUUUAAAGAAACAAUAUUUUAAGAAAGACAUAAGCCUCGAGGAAAAACUGAGAAAUGUUCCGCCAGGAAUACAUGCCUUCCGGAAGUCAAGCUCAAGCUGAAGUUCAGAGGUUAAGAGACCAGAUAGCUCAGAUGCAAGCGAACACGGUUGAGCAAAUUGCCGAGGUUCAACGAAAAUAUGAAGAACUCCAGCAACAACUUAGAGCAGAGGCAGCAGAGAGGGAGGCAGCGGCUGCAGCGAGAGAGGCAGAGGCACGAGCGAUGGUAGCAGAACAGAGCAAAAAGUACGAUGACCUCCAGCUACAGCUUCAACAGAUGAUGCAUAUGUUUCAACAAUCGCAAAAGCCGUCGUCUUAGACAUUAGUUUUCUUAUUGUAAGAAUGUUUUUAAGUUUUUUCACGUUUAACAUUAUUGUAAAAAUAUUUUAAAUUAUACUUUAUUAUUAAUUAUAUCAUAUAUCUUUAGUUAAAUUUGAAGUAUCAUUUAGAAUUAAUAUUUUUGGUUGUAUUUUUUAUGUUAAAUUUGGUGUUUUUGGCUGCAUUUUAUAUUAUAUUUGUUGUAUUUGGUUGGAUUUUAAUGCAGGAAGGGCUGGAUAUUGGUGAAAAAAAAUAUUACAAAUCUGCCAAAUUUAGCGGCGUUUGUAAAAAAAGCGCCGCUAAAAGCCUUGACGUUUAGCGGCGCUUUUCCCAAAAACGUCGGUAAAAGCCUUGACCUUUAGCGGCGCUUUUCCCACAAACGCCGCUAAAAGCCUUGACCUUUAGCGGCGUUUUUUUCCAAUAAACGCCACAAAUUUUUGUGGCGUUACAUAUAGCAGCGUUUUUGCGACGUUUUAGAAAGCGCCGCUAAAAGUUUUAGUGGCGCCUAAAAGCGCCGCUAAAGGCUAAAAAAAGUCCCGCUAAAAGUCUGUUUUCCUAUAGUGUUUUAUUUUUUUAUGUGAUGGGGUUUUAAACCUUUUACAAAAAUAGUAUAAAAAAUAAAAUACUAAAAAAUAUCUUAAUGAAAAAAUAAAAUAUGAAAAGAAAUAAAAUACAAAAAAAUAAUUUUUUUAGGGAAAGUGGUGCUGGCGGGUUUUUUUACUAAAAAAAUAAAAAUAAAAUACGAAAAUAGUAUAUUUUAAAAAAUAAAAUCCAAAAACUUAAAAAAAUACAAACAAAGGGCCAAAAUCAGGGUUAUUUACUAAAUUAAUAUAAAAAACACUAAAAUAAUAAAUUUAAAAUACUAUGUACUAAAAUAAUAUAAAAAAUAAAAUACGAAAAUAGUAUAUUUUAAAAGAUAAAAUCUGAAAAUAAAAAAAUAACAAAAAAUGCCAAAAUCAAGGUUAUUUAUUAAAUUAAUAUAAAAAACACUUAAACAAUACAUUUGAAACAUUAUGUACUAAAAUAAUAUAAAAAAAUAAAAUACGAAAAUAGUAUAUUUUAAAAAAUGAAAUCCAAAAAUAAAAAAAUUAUCAACAAAUGGCCAAAAUCAGAGUUAUUUAUUAAAUUAAUAUAAAAACAAUUAAAUAAUAUAUUUGAAACAUUAUGUACUAAAAUAAUAAAAAAAUAAAUAUAAAAUAAGUAUAUUUUAAAAAAUAAAAUCCGAAAAAAAAACCAACAAAGGGCCAACAUCACCGAACAAAAAAAAAUUAAGAAUAUUGCAACAUAACCCCUCCUUGUUUUCCCAUCUUUUUUAUUUCCCAAGGAAUUUAAUUACAUAUUAUAAUAUAUUUUAAAAUAAUAUUGAACAACUUAUCAUGUUUUUUAUUUAUUAUUGCAUAUCUCACAUUAUUAUUAUUAAAUAAAAAUUAAUUUAAAAUAUAUUGAACUACAUGCCGGGUAUAUUAUAUAUAUUAUAUUUUAAACCAAAAUAUUUUACUUAUUAUUAUUUUAAAAUAAUAAUAAAAAUAUUUGUAUUUGAGUUGGAUAUAUUUAUUUUUUUAAUGUAGUAUAGCAAAAAAGAAGUUGUCGAAAAAACUGUUUGGUAUUUUUUUGUAAUUAAAAGCAAUAUAUAAAAUUUAGUUAUUCUGAUACAAAUUUAAAAUCCAUCAAACGUUAAAAUUAAUAACCGAAAUUUAUUUUGAAAUUGCAGGCAUCGCAAUGGCUUCAUUGAUUAGGAAAGAUCCUCACAUAUCUGACACAGUUAAUAAUAUGGUAAUAUAUUGUUAUUUAUUAAUCACUGGUUCCAUUAAAAAAAGAUCUAAGUAAUUUAAGGAAAUAAAUUAUGUUAUUAUAACUAUUUUCUCUAAUUUAACACUGUCAGGGCCUUUACCGCGCAUUAAGGGGCCAGUUGAAUGGUUUAGGAUAUUCCUCGGAUGCACGACUGAUGCCCUACUUGGAGCUAGCUAGAUUCGAGUCCGCAGCAUUAACCCGGACGUUCGACUUGCGGUAUGAUUUAUUAUCUGCCCUUGGUCGAGCGUUGGCGCUCGGAGACCCACAUUUUUCAUUUGCUGUGUGGGGAGUGCACUAUCACUCUGGAGGAUGUUGCAUUGCACUUUGGGCUCCCAAUCGACGGGAGUGCCGUAACGGGCAUAAGUGCGAUAGUUGAGUCGGCUGCACUUUGUUAUAACCUACUAGGAGCCUCGCCCGGCGAUGAUAAGUCCAAUUUUUCAAAUUUGAAAUUUACAUGGCUGAAAGCCAAUUUUGAGCAUUUAUCAAUUAAUACCACUGAAGAAGAGUUGAUGUGCGCAGCUCGAGCGUACAUUAUGCAUAUUAUAGGAGGUGUACUGAUUCCCAAUGCGAACAACAAUAGGGUUCAUCUCCAGUAUUCACCUCUAUUAGCUGAUUUGCCUAAUGUUCGCUCGUAUAGUUGGGGUUCCACAGUUCUGGCUAUGUUGUAUCUUGAGCUUUGUCGGACGACAAAGCCUGAUGGCAUAGACAUAGGCGGAUGCCUUGUAUGGUUGCAGUCAUGGGCUCUUUAUCGGAUGCCAUUCUUGGCACCGAUUAGUCACCAACCAUAUGUAUUUCCACUAGUUAACAGAUGAUAAAAUUUAACUUAUUAUUAAUUGACAAUUUCUUUACUAUUCUAAUGAUACUAUAUUUACUUAAAAAUUGUUUUCAUAGAUAGAGUAUUUAUUCAGGUAUCGGGAGGUCAUACAUUGUCCUGAUAUAUCAUUUGAUGAUUGAACAACAUGUCGGGGAAGGGGUAACCUAUUCCAAGAUUCGUGACAUGUAAUUACUUUGUAUAUCUUACUCGAACCAUGUUAAAUUUUAACCAUGGUAUUAAUCGUGCAAUUUUUAUGAAUGCCAUAUCGUAGACCAGAAAUUGUGGCUAUUAUACCCUCGUCUGCCUACGUUGAUUCUCAAUUGUGGUGCACUAACGCACCAAUUAUCAAUUUCAAUGUAGUCGAGUGGUACCACGGAGAUCGAAUACUACGACAGUUUGGUAGCAUUCAGUAUAUCCCGGAUCCACCAAUGCAGGUGGGGAAGGUUCACGACAUCAAUAAGAGAGGAAAACAUGGAAGUCAUUAGGGGGUUGUGCACCAAAAAUAUAUUGCGGUGUGGGAUAAUCGAAUGGCUCGAAGACCUCAGAUGGAUAUGUCUUUCGAUUUGCAAGCAUCAUUAGAGUACAUACAAUGGUACUCUAGUAUAGGAAAGCUAUAUUUACUUGGUGGGCAGUCGACUGCAGUCCCCCCGCACGUGCAACGACCUGAGGCAUACGGGCCAGUGGUCAAUAUAGAGCCCGAGCCACAGCAGAAGGUCGAUCCUGAGCGAUCGUAUUCACAUUUGGCUGAUACUUCUUAUCAUCCAGAUUUGCUGGGCAAUGACUAUUUUUCGGGCUCAUCAGGGGGCGGAUACCGUUACGGGUUUGAUAUCUUUAGGUCGUAUCCACUGCAGUAUAGCACGAACCUCGGCCCAUAUCCACCGCAGUAUUCUACUCCUCUUAGGUUGUAUCCAUCGCAGCAUGACAUUCCUCCCGGCUCAAGUUCAUCGAUGCCAUUCGAGCCAUAUGAUUUUUCUUCCAUGUAUCAGACACCCUCACCUGCGACUGAAGAGGAUGUUGGUCGUCACAAUUACCCACAACGUGAACGUCAACCUCCGCAGAAAUAUACUCCUGGACUACUCCAUCGAUCUGUCAAUUUUAGGGGUUUCUUGGGUUUUGAUAUUAAAAAGUUUGUAGUUUUUUGUAUAUAUUUAAUUAGAUUAAUUGGAGCUUUGAAAAGUGGAACAAAAUUUGACCAUAACGUAAAUUACAUUAAUUUGGACAUUUUGAACAUUAAAACACUAAUAGCAUGUUUGGUUCAAUGUAAUAGCAUAGCUAUUACAACUCUAUUCCAUGGGCCCACCCUAAACACCUGUUUGGUUCAAUGGAAUUCCCUAAUACGGGCUUAUUCCAUUACAGGUCUAAACAGUAAGGCUUUGUUUGGUUGGGUGUAAUGGCUAAUCCAUUACACCCCGAAUCGGUGGCCCCACUGAAUACAGCGUUUGGUUUGCUGUUUUCUCUAAUACUGUUCUAAUCCGUUGCGGACGGAUUCCACAUUUUAGCUGCUUCACCACCGAUUUGUAAUCCCUUGCAACAGCAAAGAUUAGCUAAUCGGUGUCUUAUUUACCCUCCCCUUGCCGAAAUCGCCUCCAGCCGACCCUCUCCCUCCCAACAUAAACAGAACGUGCCAGCGAACCAAACCUCUACCCGCUCCCGAUUUCAGCUUUGCAUCCUUCUCCGAUUCGACGGUGUCAGAUCUCCGGACGGCUUGAAUCAGUAAUCUCCGUCAAACUUAACCUAUUUCUUUCCUCUCUGCAUGCGAUUGUUUCAGUCCUUGGUAAAUCGGCGUUUCGUUUCUUGCCGGUUAUGGUUUUUUUUUUCAUUGUUUGUUUGUUUGUCCUGAAUUACAGGUUCUUUGCUCCAACAUUUUUCAUAUUCUGUCUGCUUUAUGUUUCUCUAUUUUCUGUUUCUGUACCAUGUUUUGUUUCUCUAUUUUCUGUUUCUGUACCAUGUUUUGUUCCUCUAUUUUCUGUAGUGGUUUUUUGUUUCUCUAUUUUCUGUUUCUGUACCAUGUUUUGUUCCUCUUGCCAUUUUUGCUUUUGUAGCUUAAUUUAUUAUCAAUGAUCAGCAUGUUCUCUUGUGUAGCCAUUUUAUUUAGCAUGUUUUGUUUCUCUAUCAUUUACACACUGCUGUUACUGAAAAUUAAAUCUAAAUUCAACCGAAUGACAUGGAAUUAUACAACAACUAACUUCAAAUAAAAACAUGAUUUUAAUCCAUUGUUAGAAGUUAAUAAUCCUUUUCCUCACUUAUAAACCAUGAACGCAUAUCAGUAGUGGGACAUUUGUAGAGAAAUUAACAGAUUUGUUCCAACUGAUAUUCCUAGAGGUCUCAUAUUCUUGUUUGUGUUCCAACUUGUCAAGGAAAGGCUAGAUUUUGUAUUUCCAUUUAAAUAAUCUUCUUGACCUUAAUUUGUUUGUCAUUUGGCAUUGUGCAUUGUUAAAGGCUUGUUGUCAGUAUUUCAUAAUUUUCCUUAUAAUUUUCCCAUCCAUUAAUUUUUUGUUUUCUAUAAUUCUUUAAUAUUGUCUCAAGUUCCCAUCUGCAGUUUAAUAUAUUGAUUAUGUAAUCCACACAUCAUUAUCUAUCAAACUAAAGCAGUAGAGACAAGAUUGUGAAAUAUUAAAACCAGUGCAACCAGCUCAUGAUAUUGUUAUGAUGAAAGCACUUGCUGUGCAUUUUUCUUAGUCAUUUAAAUUAAUAAACUCAUUUAACAAUCUUGUGCUUUUCCAUGACAGAAAUAAGAAUAUUAUUUAUCUUUUGUAAUUAAAUUAUCUUUGAAAGGCUGUAUGAGAAUAUGUAUGUAAGCAAACUCUAAUUGCACUGGUAUUCCAUUUUCAUUUUUGUGAAAACAUGUUUAUUUUUCUAGUCAAAUGCCUAGAUGAUGGUUCUUGUGUAGCCAUUUUAUUUAGCAUGUUUUGUUUCUCUAUCAUUUACACACUGCUGUUACUGAAAAUUAAAUCUAAAUUUAACCGAAUGACAUGGAAUUAUACAACAACUAACUUCAUUGUUUGUUUGUUUGUCCUGAAUUACAGGUUCUUUGUUGCUGCAGUUCAUCAUCGGUCUCCUCUCCGAUUUCCUCAUUACAGGUUAGUUUCCCCCGUUUGCAGUGGCUAUACAAUUGUUUGCAGUGGCUAUAUAAUUUAUUUGCAGUGGCUCCAUCUGCUUGAUCAGUCAGAAAUGAAAACAAAGGACUAUGAAUGCUCAUGUCCUGUUUGGAUUUGUAUGCUUUUUGAGAUUUUUGUUGAAUAGAAACACUCUGAUAUUCUUUCAUGGCUACUGCAAUGUUGAAGUGCAUAUAAUGAGCUCUAGAAUGUCAUGCAUAGUCCUGGUGCUGUUAAUUUGGUACUGUUAAUUUUGAAUGCUUUGAAAUGUUUGAAAUGGCUUUGUUAAUUUGGUACUGUUAAUGCUUUGAAAUGUUUCAAAUGGUGCUGUUACUACUUCAACUUUGAAUGCUUUGAAAUGUUUGCUCACUGAUAAAUGUUUGAAAUGGUGCUGUUAAUUUGGUACUGUUAACUUUGAAUGCUUUGAAAUGUUUGAAAUGAGUUAACACCCAAGUACAUUUACUGCUAAUUUAAUCUCCAAGUUGGUGUGGAAUUAUGAAACUAAGAGAGUAUUUUCCUAUAUGUUGCUUUUACGUUUCACUCUUUCUGAAAUAAUUAGCUGAUAAGGUCUCCUUCCACUGUAUCUGCUUCUGGCCAUAUAUGAGAAACCAAGAAAACCCUUUCUUGUUCGGCUAUAUAUAUAUAUUGAAGUGAAAAUGAAGCCAUGACCUGUACAGUUUUAAAUUACCCAAAGCUUUCUUCUUUACCAAAUCUGUCAUCUUACUUUUAAAAGUUUUAAAUUAUCUGUCAAACUUAUAAUCUGUCAAUAUAUCAAACAUUAACCCAUUUUUCAGUUGUGGAUGUACUUCCUUUCUUUCCAAACAAUAUAUAAUUUGGUCUCACGUGGUUGCUGCUUUCACUUGCUCUCUCUCCUCCACCUUCCAUUGUCCAACUUUCAAGCAAAUCGUUGGAAUUCUAGGAUCUUUUGAAGAUUAACAUGCAACUGUCGAAUAUUUAUGGUUAUAUGUCUACCUUAAAAGAUGUUUUAUAAAUUGUUUUCAUUCAUUAAAAAACCAGGUUAUGCUUAUGAUUGCAAAUUGCAUGUGAGCACACAUCUGAUUUGUACUUGGAUAUCAUAUGUUAUAUUCCUUUGUCCCCAAAACCAUUAAUGAGUACUAUAUAAUUUAAAAAGGGCAUCAAACUUUAGUACCAAUUCUUGUAUUAAAAAGGAAAUUCAUGGACAAAAUGUUGUUAUAAAAAGGAGCAAUAUAUAAUUUGGUACUUGUGUUUUUUCUUUUUUUAAUCUAUUAUUUGUAUUUGAUAAAUAUUUUGAUACUUAAAGAUAAUGGUGUACCAAUUCUUCGUUAUAAUUUAAAAAGGACAUCAAACUUUAGUACUAAUUCUUGUAUUAAUAUCAAUUAUGAUAAAAAUAUAACGAUUUUGAUACUUUCAAAGAUCUCAUUCAAAUUUAAUCAUUAUUAAAAUAAAUUGUGCUAACUUUAAGCUGAAAUAAAAAUUUUAUUUAUGUUAUUUAAGGUAUAUUAAAAUAUAAUUAAAAUCAUUAUUUAUUAUUUAAUAUUUUUAAUUGAAAUAUAAUUAAAAUCAUUUUGAUUAUAUAAUAUUAAUAUAAAACUAUACAUUUAAAUUGAAAAUAUAAAUAAAACAUGGCAUAACAAUUAAAAUUUAAUAUUAAUAGAAAAACAUAUUUAUUAUUGAUAUUAAUAAUUCAAAUUUUUUUUCCAUAAUAUUUUUUACCUGUGUGUUAUAAAUUAUUUAUUACUUAUGGAGUGUUUACCUCUUCAUUAUUAUUUGAUUACAAAAUAUUAUCAUUUUAUUUAUCUUUAAAAUAUUAAAUUUGUUAAUAGCUAUCAAUCAUUUAUGCAAAUUUUUACUAAUAAUUUUACUAAAUAAAAAUAAACACGUGCCAUCUUGAUUCUUUUAGAUUCAAUGUUCCUUCCUGUAAUUUUUUAUAAGCAUUUUUGUUUGAGAAGCAACUUGUCAAGUUAUCCCCCAUAUAAUCCUAUCAACUCCCCCAAAAUUAAUAACCUAUUUGCUUUCAUUUUUAAUUUGUUUGUCUCUCAAUUAUUUUUAUAAAAUUUAAUUUGCAUCUUCAAUUCUUUGAUAGUUUGUUGAAAAUUAAUAUUGUUUAAUUUUUUUAUAAUGUGUAAUUGCAACUUCAACUCUUUGAUAGUGUGUUCUAAUUUUAAUAUGUUGCAGUAAUGGCUCGUCUGCCUUUAAUUGCACAAAGUGUGAGGCGAAAAAGAAUUGGUAUUGCAUUGACAUUAUGGUUGGAACUCUGUAGAAUUGCGAUUUGGUUCUUAUUUAGAAUGGGUGCCAGCCUUAGCCUACAUACUUAUAGACCAAGGAUUAGGUCAUAUACCUUAGAUUUUUAUGCAAAACGAGAUUAUGUGAAAAGGCUUGUAUAUACUAGUGACGAGAGUCACAAAGAAGCCUCUCAGUUCAGACAUCGUACUUUCCCUUACUACAACCAGCUUACUGCGAUAUACGCAAGAGAUCGGGCGAUUGGGAAAGACACUCAAACAG
rnacentral:lncRNA from 1 species